rnacentral:lncRNA from 1 species
GAGAAUGUUCGCUACUGGCUAUGAAUGUUUUCAUGAAGCACCAGAAGACAGCGUUUUAUUUGGUGGGGGUGAAGUUUUAGUACAGGAAUUGCUCGGUUUGAAAUAUUUAGAGGUAUUGGAGUUGACCUUGGGAAGUUAUCAGGCUCUCCAAAUCUUUUUGAGCUCAAAUAAGUUAAAAAGUUGUAUUCGAUCUCUUUUCCUCCAGUUGGCCGGAGAUACAAAGUCGAUUAUUGAUGCUGCGGCUUUCGCAGAUCUAAACCACCUCAAUGAAUUAUAUAUUUAUGAAGGUAUUGAGUUGGAAGAAUUGAAGAUUGAUUAUACAGAGAUAGUACGAAAAAGGCGGGAACCUUUUGUUUUCCGCAGCCUUCACCGUGUUACCAUAUUUAGUUGCGGUAAAUUGAAAGAUGUGACAUUCCUCGUUUUUGCUCCAAACCUCAAGUCUCUUGAGCUAUUGCAAUGCGAUGCUAUGGAAGAAAUAAUCAGCGUCGGAGAAAUUGCUGAGACUCCUGAGAUGAUGGGACACAUAAGCCCUUUUGAAAAUCUCCAAAGUCUUCAUUUAUCGUAUUUACCAAUUUUGAGGAGCAUCUACUGGAAGCCAUUGCCUUUCACUCAUCUCAAAAAAAUGGAGGUACGUAGAUGCGAUCAGCUUAGAAGGCUUCCGCUCGAUUCCAACAGUGCAACAGAGCGUAAUGUUGUUAUUCGUGGAUACACACUCUGGUGGAACCGACUUCAAUGGGAGGAUGAAGCCACUCAAAUUGCUUUUCGUUCCUGUUUCCAACCUCGUUCCUGAGCAGUGGUCGCAAAAUUUGAUUUCUGGUGAGUGCGUUUGUCUUUUAAAAAGAAGAAUUUAAAAGAAAUUUAUUCUUGUCGUUUUCUUCACUGUUUUUAUUUGAUUUCUGGUUAGUUUCUUUCUCUCUCUCUCUCUCUUUGUCUUCUGCAAAUCACAAUUAAAUGUUGAAUUAAUGGAAUUGAUGCUCUGGUUUUUUACUUUUUGUUGUCAAAUUUUGCCCUGUUCUAUCUUCUUAGCGAUUUAAUUUCCUGUCAAAAGACGAGCGAGAAGAACAUAUAUAUGACUUAAACCAAUUGAUACUUUAUUUAUGUGCAUUGUAUGUAAUAAAUAUUAAGUAUACUUUAUUUUUGCCCUGUUCUCUGUUUUUAUUUCAGUCUCUCUCUCUCUUUCCUGUCUUCUGCAAAAUAUAAUCAAUUAUUUUCAAAAUAUCAUUGAUGAUUUUUCUGCUCUAAUGCUAUGUAAAUAGUAUGUUAAGUAAAACAUAAUCAAUUAUUUGUGUUUUAUCUCUAAUUAGAACAUCAAUCAGUUCAGUACCUCACAAAUAAUUCGCAAUAUCUACAAAAUACUAUAAUGGCUACAAAACAAAUCCUGCUUGCAAAUUGUCAAGGAUACCUAUCCGUUCGCUUGACAAGUCAUUUGAAUAAAUAUUGUUCACAUUCCUUACUCUAUCAAUUAUCCAAAGCACCAUCAAUGGUCCUCAACUUUAGUUUGAAUAGUAUACAUGCCAUCACCAUUACCAAGAAUCAAGCAUGGAAGAGUCAUUCUAUAGAGUUAAUCGAAGCAAGGAAUGAUGUAUCAGAAAAUAUUUGGUGGAGAAUUCAGCACAAACAUAUUUUGGAUGAUCAGAAUCAAUAAAACCUGGUGGUUGCGCCAUAUAAACAUCUUCGGAAAGCUGACCUUGAAGAAAGGCGUUAUUGAUAUCCAAUUGACGAAGAGGCCAGCCAUGACUAACAUCAAUACUAAGAACAAGCCGUACUGUGGUGGACUUAACAACUGGACUGAAAGUGUCAUAAUAGUCCACACCAGGCCAUUGAUUGAACCCUUUGGCAACAAGAUGAGCUUUAAACCUGUCAACAGAACCGUUGGAAUGUCUUUUAAUACAAAAAUCCAUUUGCAGCCAACAAUAUUGGAAGGGAUGGGAGGUGGAACAAGCUUCCAUGUCCCGUUACGAACAAGAGCAUCAUACUCUUCUGACAUAGCUGGACGCCAGUGAAGAUUUUUGAUAGCUUGCGUCACAGUUGUAGGUUCACAAUCAGAAGAAGGGCUAAAAUGAGCACGGAGGUUAAGUUUUUGUAACGGCUUGUGAAUCUUAUUUUUAGCUCGGGUAGUCAUAUCAUGAUGACUUGUGGGGCAAUGAUCUAGUGGAGUUUAGGAAGAUGAUUGAACAGGAAGUGAAGAAGUGCUUUGUGUAGAGGUAGAAGUAGGUUGGGAGGAUUGCUGCGGAGAUGUUACCGGUAGAGAAGAAGGAGCAGUACACGGUGGCAACUCCAGAGGGCCCACAAUAGAUGGAGUAGGUGCCGACAAUGGAGUACUAGGAAAUGAAACAGGAAGAAUUGGUGGAACACUUGCGUAAUUAGGAGUGGUAGAUGAGCUUGUAAUGAUUUGUAUGGAAAAACAAACUCUACAAAUUUAACGUGACGUGAAAUAAAAAUUCAACCCGAUUGCAUAUUUAAGAACAUCUCAAAUGAAUUGCUUACUGCUAUCAUCAUCAUUAUUGUCUAUAUAAUAAUGGAUCUUUAUUAUAUAUAUGUUUCCACUAAAAUAUAUUUAAUUAUUCUUUAUUUUUCUAUUGUUGCGUGUAAGAUUUAUUUGAGUUCUAAGUUAUAUCAAUACAAAUGUUAUCUUAUCCAUAAAAAGUUAGAUCCAACAAUUAUGAAAAUUACUAUAGAGUUGCUUUCAAUUAUUUUUUUAAAAUACCAGGAGUAAAUAAUAAUUAGUUCAAAUGGUGGAGACUAAAAUGCGUUCACCUUUAUUUUUUAUCUGUUAUUUACUUUUGUCAUUACAUUAAUGCACAUGCUAUACAUUUGAGACAUUCCAUUAAUUGCCAAUUAUGUAUGUGAGAUAGUAAUUUAAAUUAAAAAAUAAAAGUGAAAGUUAAUCCUAUGCAAUGUGAAUAAAUUUCUUUCCUUUUUCCUUUACUCUUUUUAUUUGACAAUAAAGUUUCCAUCUAUCAUCUAUCAUCUAUGUACACAAAAUUUCUGCAACAAGUACAAAACAUAAAAAUAUAUGAAUAUUAAGGGAAACACGCAGAAGUUCAUCAUUUCAAUGUUCAGUAUUACCAAUUUUGGCAUUAAGCUUGUACGAAUAUAUUCUACUUCGAAAGCAAAAUAUUAGACUCGUGAUUUUAAUUCAUUCAUUAUCUCUCAUUUUAAUCCCAAAAUAUUCAAGAGUAUCCAAGUUACCAUAAGACUUCAGAGGCUCGAGCCUUAGCCAGAGAUGGUUAAUUGAUAGACUAUGUGCCUGGGUCGAGCACUGGAAGCCUGCAAUGCAGACUGAUUGAUUUAUCAGUUUAACGUGUGCCAGGAAUGAAGAACUGGAAUAUCACCGUCAAGCAAGCACCCUGUGGAGCAAUACCAAAGAAUGCACAAUCUGGCUUUGCUAGGUGACCCUGGAGGCUUUUUGAAAAGUGCUUCAUGCUCACUUGCACAGAUUGAGCAUCCCCUCUGGAUAUUGCCCUCUCUGAUCGAGUCUGAGCACUCAAAUUUCGGUCCUCAGAUGGAGCUACAGCUUUCUCUCCAAUAACCAACAAUUUUCUAAACUCAGCACCUAGUGUGAUCAGAGUUGUUGAUAUUUGCAAAUGGAGAUCCCCAUAUUUGCAAAUGGAGACAUUUAACAAAUCACCAACAUGCUUCAUCCGGUCCACGAAAUUCUGCAACUGAUUCAAAUCUGGAACCUGAACCAGAGUCGGAGGUAUAUCUUGAGCCAUAUCUAAAGCAGUUUGAAGUUCAAGACCUUGAGCCCUUGACAAUGGUUUUGAAAUUGGAACAUCUUGGAUUACUGCAGACUUGUACCCCUUGGUUUCAAAGGUAAGGAAAGGCAUUGCUUGAGUACAAUUUGGAGGCAGCUUCUUCACCAAUUUUAUUUGGAGGCAAUUGGCAGCGGAUCCAGCUGCACCAAUUUCAGAGCAACUACUGACACUACUUCGAACAGCACACUGACGAAGUGAUAUGUCUACGGCAAAGGCAAUGCAGUCCUCAUUUUGGCUUGAGAUGCAGUAAUCAUCGAAGAGAGUUUCCUUGUGAAACUGGGCAACACAUUGAAUCCCUUCGCCACUGAGAAGGUUGUGGAGGAAGUAAGCUGUCUCUCUAGUGAGGAAGAGGUGGCAUACCUUCCCCAUUUUGUCUAGGGCAGGUAGGAAUCUUUUUUCUAAGAGAUUUACUUCAUUCUCUGUGAGAAAUGCUUUGAACUUCAUCCCUCUGUCUCUAUCCUCACUUAUCAGGAAAUAAGUUGAAAGCACUAUGAAGAGAGAGAGAGAGAGAGAGAGAAUUAAGAUAUAUAGACAAGAAAAUAAUUAGACGUUGAUCUUACAAACUAAUACUUCAAGCAGUAUCCUAGAAAGCUAAAAACUGCAAGAUGGCUUGAAAUUUGAAAAGAGCACAUGGUUUUCCUCCUUAACUUGAGAAAAUGUUUAAUAUAGUGCACCUUACAGAAGCAUUUAAGCAAUUAGAACUUUGCACAAAAACAUCAAGAAGACUAAACAAAUCAGAUGCAGUGUAUUUGUCCAAGCACAAAUUGCAUUUUGUCCUCAACUUUAAUAUUUAUUGAUGAGAAUCAAUACAGGUCCCUCAUUUGUUAUAGAAAGCUUUCUUGUAGUCUCACCAGUUAAUUCACAGGUCUAUAAUCAUCUUGCAAAGUUAAGGGCAUUUCUUUCGAUCUAAAGUCUUUGCAUCACCACCUCAUCACACGCCAAGCCAAUAUUCCAUUUACCUCUACAACAAAAAGUUUUUAAGUAAAUAAUCCUAAUGCACGCAGCCGAAUAAAAUGCAGUAAGAAUAUUCAACUUAAAAAUCUGAAAGCCAACUUGGUGAAUUGCCUCCUUAGGUGAAGUUCCAUGCUUUACUAUAGUUGACAGAACUCAGCAAAAGCUUCCAUACAACAGAUUUUGAAAAUGAUGAUGCCAAUAGAUACUCAUUCAAUCCAUUGAAACUCCAAAGGUUCAUUGUUCAUAGAAGUUUACAGAGUUUUGGUCAUCAAAUAGCUCAGACCUAAUCCCAAACAAAAAACGAGUGAAAAUUAGAUCACGAGCAGCUAAUUGUAAAUUCUAACUUAACUCUUCAUCUCCUUUGUAAACAAGAAACAAAAUGGAGACACGCAAAAUGAAUAUGGAGAAAAUUUGAACUCAAAUGAAAUGAGGGCACGAAAGCAAACAAAUGGCAUGCACAAAAAAACCAAGCCUCGAUAAAAAACUAAUUAACCAUUAAGAAAAAAAUUGGUCAGAGAAUGAACUCCAAAUUCAGGAGUCAAGCAAGAAGCUUUCAUUAUUUCAGAAGCUCCUGUACAAAUUAAUAAGUUAUGCUCUUUGGAAGCAAACCUAAAUUCCAAGAGAAACAGAACCCAAAAAAUUUGCAAUUAUACGCAAAGGAAGUGAAGCACAGGAUUCUAUCACACAUAGGAAUUGUAUAACAAGAGAUCGAUAUAUCGAAUUAGAAAACUCAAUUCGAAUUUGUGUCAAAAAUCAAAAUUAGAAGAUUUCACAUUUCGAGAGGAACAAGCAACAGAUGAAGUUCAAAAUUUCAGCCAUAACAUGCUAAAAAUGCUACACUUAACGGUUCAUUUUCAUGGAUUUUCUCGGGAAACAAACAGAAAAUUACGGUUUAGAGAGUUGACUGACCUUUUGGCUUUUGAAAUUGACCAGAUCGCGCGCCAAAUUGGAAGAGGGAAAGUGAAAGCGCGAGUUUUAAUAUGGGUAUUAGAUAAGGAAAUUUUAUUAGGUUGCGAGGGUAAAAAAGGAAAGAGAUAUCAUUAUUUUAUUAUCGAUAAUUAUUAAAUUUUUUUCCAAAAAAAAGAACAAGCAAGGAUUUUUUAUUGUCAUCACUAAGUUAAAAAAAAUUGUUUCAAAAUUACUUGAGUCAUAUCCAAUGGACCAACAAAGUAAUCGUUUUUAUUUUUAUUGAUUUUUGCAGGAAAUUAAUAACUUAAAAAUACUGAAAGCUACUGUAAAAAUUUUUAUUAUCAACCUCAUAAUUUUUUUUUUUUGGGGAAGAGAAUUCAAACUUUUUUUUUAUGAAUAUCGCUGUUUCGUUUGAGUUGGAUGUGAAUUCAAAUCCAAAUAUUCUUUGUUUUUCAAUUUUGAACUCAAUUUCUUUUUCUCAAGAAUGUUAUGCAGAAAUAAUUUUUACUAAAUCUUUUUUGAUGAAUUGUUUAAAUUAAACAAUUGGAAUAAGAAUUGUAACGAUUUAUCAUAAGCGUGCUAAUAUGAUAACUUGUUUUACGAAGGAUUAAUUAAUCAAUUAAUAUUAAAUUAUAUAUUAGUCAAUUAGAUAUGUGUUACAUUUAUCAUGUUUUGUAGGUGAUAGUACAUCAUUUCUAAAAGAAUAUAGUACGUUAAAAUAUUAUUUUAAUGAAGAAAAUUUUAUUAUUUUAUUAUUAGGUGACACAAUAAUAAAUGGAUUUCUGUAAGAAUUGAGAUUCUUGAUAUAAUUAUUACAUAAGGAGAAGUUUAGUUGGUUCAAUUUUGACGUGAUAAGAAGACAACACAGCACAGAAAACCCAAAUUGCCACUUCCACUAAUAAAAGAUACCUGUUUGAAAAGUAAUUAUAAACUAUCUUCUUUGUGUUAUUUCUCAAAACUUUUGUGGCACAAAUGUUAUUUCCAUUGACAACAGUACGAAAUACCACCCCUUUCACUUGAGCAGGAGCAAAGCAAAGGUAUGAUGAGCUAUCUCUGUAUAAUUGAAACGCCAUUACUAAACGAUUCUUGAUGAUGGGAGCCACCGUGCCAGCUUUGUCGCUGAUUUGCAUGAUUUAUUAGUUGUCCAGAUGGCGGAUUUUGUACUGUUACCUUCGUUUCAUUCUUCAGAGCCAUGUACUGUUCUAGGAUACCAGAGAAACCAAGGUGGCAUUGAAGUUGCCCUGGUGGUUAGUUUUCCGAUCAUUUUUUUAUUCAAUUAUUUAUGUUUUUAGAAAAAUGUAGGAAAUAUGUAGAAAUGUUGACAGCUAUGAUUUUGAAACUUUUGCCUAAAAUUGUUAUCAUUACUUGUUGUUUCUUAUUUAAAGAGAAAUUCUAGAAACAUGAAAUGAUUAUUCUACGCUUGUUUUAAUAUUGUGCUAUGAAGAUUACGAAGGUUUGAUUAUAUGUCACUAUCAAUUGCCUUAAUCGUUUGUCGUAAAUCAAUUAAGCAUUUUGAUGCGAAUGAUUCCCUAUUAAAAAAUUCAAGUCAGAGCUGAAUUGCAAAGUAGUUAGUCGUGCUUGCAAUUCAAAUUAAGUAUUGUAUUUUCUCCCUGAUUUGGUUGAUUCAACUAUGUGCAUUUGCUUAUGAACGUUGCAGUAUAGAAAUCGAAAUAUCUUGUCUUUUGCUAAGCCCAGAAGCAAAUUCUUUGUAUUCUACUCAUCAGUUUUCUUCAUUCUCUUUGUUGAAAUUUUAUCUAAACAGCGGUUUCUUCGAAUUUAUGCCUUCGCUUACUCUUUUAAAUUUUAUCCAAACAACGGUUUUGAAAUUGUUUUCACUACAAUACCUUAGUCUUUCAGAUGCUCCCGUCACUGAGUUGCCAGAAGAGCUAAAAGCCUUGGUAAAUCUUAAGUGUUUGAACCGGAGUACACAAAUUAUCUCUCUACAUUUCCAAAGCAAUUGAUUUGUUACUUUUCGAUGCUACAUGUUCCGCGAAUAUUCAGUUGUGGUUAUCUUGUUCAGAUACCAGAAAAUAGCGUUAUAUUUAGUGGUAAUGAAUUCUUGGUUUGGGAGUUGCUUAGUUUAAAACGUUUAAAUGUAUUAAGCAUCAUCUUGAAAAGUUUUUCUGCUGUCCAAAAACUUAUGAGCUUCCAAAAGUUUCAAAGCUGUACACAAUGCAUGGAGCUUGUAGACUGUGAUGAUCCAAAGUCAUUUGCCGUGGCAGAGUUGAAGCAUCUUGAAAAACUAGGUUUUUCAAGUUGUGGAAAUUUGGAAGAGUUAAAGUUCUGCUGUGUCGAAGUUGCAAAGGCUCGAGAAUGUUUUCGUUUGAACAGCCCUCACUGAGUUAAGAUGAAGGCUUGUCAUAAAUUGUGGGAAGCGACAGGUUAUUCAAAUAGAAAAAUUUAUGGAGAUGGAUGUUAAUCUUAAGGUUAUUCAAUUAGAAAAAUUUGAAUAAAAUUUAUGGUAAGUGCUUUUCCAUUUAUUGCAUAUUUAUAUCUAAUUUUUAUUUUCCUUUAUUGUUAAAUUUUGGUCUCUAUUUGUUGUUGUAUGGUGGCAUUCUUGUACAAUUAUUAGCUUUUCAUUUCUCUUCUCACAUUAACUGCCCUUCUGAUCAUGUAGGAUUUGCUGAUGCAAAGAGUCAUAAUUUGGGAUACAAAUGUAAGAAUUAGACAGAUGACAUGUUGUUUUGAAGCUCUCAAAGAAGGACUAAUUAUGUCAUUGAAAGCCUCCAAUUUUGUGAUUGGUUUCUUUUUAUUUUAUUUGUUGUUUUCUCUAUUUUCAGAUCACUUAAUUGUUAGUUGUUGUAAUGUAAUGUUUUAGUAUAGCAAAUUAUAUUCGGCCAAGACAGUGAUAGGAGGGCACAUUGUGCAUGCACACUAGUGGAUUUGGCAUGCCAAAUCCAAUUAGGAUGGAUAACACUUUAUAAGCAUUAGGCUUCUCUCAUACCUGAGUAAUAUAGAAUAUGUUUAUAAGUUGUGAAUCACCCUUUACAAGUGUUAGGCUUCUGCUAUACUCAGUGAUGUGAAAUAUAUUUAUAAGCACUAAACUUCUCCCAUACACUUUAUGUUAAUAAUAAUAAUAAUAAUAAUAAUAAUAAUAAUAAAAUAAUAAUAAAUAAACCCAUUUUAACAGACUCUUUUUUCUUUUUCUAUAUGAACAAAUGCAUUCUUCAAAGCAACUGUGGGGAGAAGAAGUGAGUAGAGAAGAACUGAGCCCCUGUCAUUCCCCUAAAACCUCACCAAAACCUCUCUUGUAAGCUUCUCGGAUUUUCUUUCUAUAUUUCUUAGGAACUCAUUUUUUAUUGAAUCACUUAUUUUGCAUGCUGCAUUUUUUGGUUGUCGUAUUUGUGUAUUAUCUUAUCUGGAAUGCUGUUAUGAUUGAUGGAACAAGUAAUCGAUUUUUGGUCUAAUGGAAGUUGAUUUAUUUAUUUAUUGUUGUUUUUAUUUGAAAUUAUGUACAAUUGUAUUUCAUUCAUUUCUCUCUCUUUUGCUUUUUUCCCCCCAUAUAUUUGUUAUGUAUAAUUGCGUUUCAUUUAAUAUUGAUCAUACUGUAGGUAACCAUGUGAUUGUAGAUGGGGAUUUCGAGUUUGUUGAAUAUUCAUGUAAGUGAAGUAACCGUCACAAUACUAGUGAAAUUGGGAGCUUUAUUCAUGAGUUUGUGGUUUUGAAAAGUACCACAGUUCAACUGGUGAAGGCUCCGUUUUGGGAUUCUUCUUUUUCUAGGCUGCAAUUAGGAUAUGUACAUGAUAGACAAUCUUUUGUUGGUUUAGCAUAUCUUCGCUGAUUUUGUCUUUUAUUCCCCAAUUUUAUAAUUACACACCAUGAAUGUUGGGUGAUUGUAUAGAAAAUUUGUGUUAUAACAAAAACAUUGUGAAGGAGUUUCCGUGCUAAUAGUUAGUGGCUUCUGUUUUAUUGGCAUUGAUUGGGUAGAUUACGUGUUACAGUGAUUCAAUUUGUGUUCCAAACUUUGCUUUAAUUUUCUGUUUUCCCCAACUAUUUAUGUCAAAUUUAAAUCCAGAAGCAUGUGCUGAUUUUUUCUUUUUGUAUUAAUCUGUGAAGUUUAUUUGGAAUGGAAGUAACUGGGUCGGGUCUAAUGGAUUAAAUUAUGACAUUGAGGGGAAGGCACUAAAAGGGUUUGCUUGACACAUUUGGUUCUGUGUUUACUCUGCAAGAAAUAACUUUUGCUUAUUGCAAUGCAGGGGGAAAUCCCGAUUUGGCUGGUGAAUUUCUCUGCAACAAACAGGCAAACACCUCAACAUCUUCUGUCCAUACUUCUGCUGGGGAGGCAAGGGGUAAAGAGUCUUCAAAAUCAUCAAAUAGUUACAUCUCUGAGAAUUCAUUUUAUGGAAAUGGAAAAUCUAGAGUUUCUAAUACAAAAUGGCAUCUGGUAUCAGGACGUACCGUUUCAAGUUUUCUUGGUAAAGAUUAUGUUAAACCUGCACAGCCAGCUAAUGGCACUUUUCUGGCAUCAAAGCCAUUGAAGUUGGAUCCAAGGGAGUUUCGCAUUUCUGCACUUUCAGAGAAGAAACUAAACCGACAAUCAAAGGAUGACCAUUUGCAGAAGGAUAUGGAAGAUUUUCUUUUUAAAUUGCUAGGAGAAGGGUUCCAGCUGUACAGGGAUGUGAUUCAGGAGGUUCAUGGUAACGUCUUAAAUAUAUUGAUGCCAAUUUAAUACAUAUUGUCCUUUUCAAUGUUCUUUCUUUCUUUCUCCUCUUUUUAUUAUUCUUCUUCUUCUUUUUUCUUUUCAUGUGCAUGUGAUCACUAAUUUGGUAUUAUUCUUGACUUGCAGAUAGUUGUGGAUAUGAAAUGCAAAAGGUAAGGGCUAUAUCUUCUUGAUGGAGGCCUCUGAUUUUUUAAAUCGCAUUUUCCUUUGUGAUUGAUAUAUCAUACCAAAGUCAAGUCUUAAAUACUGCUGUCAUAUGUUAAGGUUCAACUUCCAUUUUGAUUAACGUCGAUUUGCUACUGCUUCCAAAAGUGAGAAUGAGAUACUUUGGUUAAUUUCAGUAGUUGAACUCAAUGGAGUACUUUAUUUAGAUCUUCAUGGUUCAAAGGCCUGAAAAAACUUGCCGGUAUUUGCAAAAUGACAUCUGUGCUUUUAUUUAGACUUAUUAUUAAAGACAACAUUUUAUUUCAGCCAAAAAUGUUUGUUUCAAUUAAAGACUUGAACCAUUUUCAUUUAACCUGAUUGUGAUGCUUUACAUUAUGCAUGUUCCUCUCAAUCAAUAAAAGUUGAGGUCAUGAUUUUAUAUUUCUAUUUUGUAACUUGAAAUAAUUGGUCUGCCUGUUUCUGUUGCUUGAUAACAUGAAUUUUUCCUUCUGAAGUUAAUUUGAUCAAUAAAGUAAUUCUUCGGAGAGGAUAUGCCCAUUCUAUAGUCAUUUUCUUAGCUAACAUGUUUUUUCUUCACUCUUCAAAGCAUGUCUAAACUAAUUGAUCGCUCAGCGGAGACUUUGGGUGAGAAGACAAAAUUUCUUGGUAAAUCCUCUGAAAAGGUAUGCAUAAUUCCCGAGUAUUAAAUAAUCAUUGGUCAUAAUUUUUGUACACGACUCUUGUUUUGGAGAUCGUUAAAAGUGGUUGAUGAUCUAUUUUGUAAUAUCAUAGAGGGAUCAUGAAUUCCUUUUCUUUUCUGUGGCUAGGCAACACUUUCGAGCCAAGCUAAGGAAAUCUAUUUUAGGUAAUGUGAAAACUAGUUGUAGGAUGUAAUAGUUUAUUAUGCCCUGACAAUAACUUUUUGUAUAAUUGUCAGUUUAAUGAAUACAAGAGGAACUCUGUUGGCAAGUUCAUCCAUGAUAGAUGCUAAAAUUAUUUAUGCAUACCAGUUGCCUUAACUAAUUUUUCUCAACACUGGUAUUGAACAGGAAAAUGAAUAUGCAAUUUGUAUAUUGUGCCAUUGUGGAGAAUUUGGAUAUUCUUAUUUAAGUAACAAGGAGAGUAUUUGCCUCAUCUUUAAACAAUGAAUCUUUGAGAAAUGAGGAGUGGGUGAUUGACAGUGUCUUCAUGUAAAUGUUCAUUUAUUUGUAUUUUGAACUAUUAUGAGAAUCUUUGUAUGCCAAAUUAGUAAUACAAAUGUUCAGAUGAUUUUUCCUGUUGAUCAUGCGUGUGUAUCUGCACACAACCAUUGUGUACCACUUUAUUCUGAUGCACAAAUAUCUGUAGUUUAGAAGAAAAGAAAUAAUAAUCAUAUAUUAUUGCUUGGUUCAUGAUUAUUAAAUGAUUAUGGCUUUAGAAAAUCCACAAAUCCUUUGUGUUCAUAUAUGAAUGUGCGAAGUUCGCUAUAUCUUAGAUUACCUUCUUCCAAGAUAACAAGUUCAUAUAUUUUUUUUAAUCCUUUUUCAUCACAGUUGAAUUUCAAGUGUAAGUUUUGUUAUUAAUAGCUGGUUUCCUGUUAUUAUGAUUUCAUAAACAAUGAGAGGAUAUGUGCUCUACUUUUGGAUGGCCUCCACAUAAAAGAAAAUUGCAACAAUUGAAUUCUUCUGGAGGGUAUGGUAUUUAAUUUAUUUUCUCAGCUUGUUGUAAGACUAAUAUAUUUCCUUCAGUACGCACGGCAUGGUGGGAAGGGUUUUUAUUGAAAGAAUUAUGAUAUUUCUUAGACUUUGUUUUGGAAGGGGGUGGAGGGAUUUCUCAUCCAUGUAUGGUUACUUGAUUAGCUUUUGACUGUACUGUCUCCGUCGUGCAAAGGAAAAUCCAAAUACUAACGAAGGGGAAUUGCUUAGGCACCCAAAGGACAGAAAUGAAUUACGGAAGGAGGUUUUUGCUGCUUUAUUUAGUGCUGCUGAGAAAUCUGAUGAAUUUCCUGAAAUUACGGUGAAGACGGAGUGGAGGUCCAACGCAUUAGGAAAGGUGGUGAGUGAACCGCCAGAGGAAUUAGUACCAGAAUACAAGGCUAAUGUGGUGCACUGGCAGCAAGAUGACCAGACCUGUAUGUGCUCUUAUAUUAACUAUAUUGGCUGGAUUUGUGAGUGUGUUCAUUUUUGUGUGUAUACUCACUUUUGUAUUUAUGCAUAUUCACGUGUGUAGGAUUCUCGAUUUCUGCCACUUACUGGAGAACUAGUGGAAAGCUUUAUACUGAUAUAUGUGCUAUAUAACUAAUGGAAACUACAAUAUGAAUAUUUUCUCUCACCUGGAGAGCAGUGUAACUAAUAUAAUUUGUGGCUCUGGAAUACUGAAGAUUCUGCAAUAACUAAUGGAAAAUAUGAUAUGAAUAUUUUUUCUCACCUGGAGAACUUUGUAACAGAUACAUUUUGUGCUGGAAUGUCUAAAGAAUGCUUCAGUUUAUAUCAAAUAUCUUUUAGUUAGAAAAGAUAAAAUUCUCUGAAUCUGAAAGACUGAAACAUUUUGCAUAUUUCGUGAAAGGCAAGUAUCUGUAGAUACUAGCUCAUGCAUUGAGGUAAUAUCAAUGUUAAAGAAAAACAGCAAUAAUUUAUUAUACAGAAUUAGGUUCACUUGCUUUAAAUGCUGGUCUGAUCAACCAUAUCAACCUGUAAUGGUCCUGCAGAAAUAUAUAUACGGGGAGAAACUAGCUAAUUUUCCUUUCACUUAUGGGUUUGGUCUUUUUUUCCCCAAUUUUUCAGCUUUCCUUCUCCUGAAGUAUGUUAAUAAUUGCAGAUAAUGGCGAAGAGGACUGCUUCCAGGCUACCGGCAAAAACUUUGUGAAAGCUUUGGAGUUAAACAGGGAAUUCACUUACUGCUAAGGACAAUUGGUGGCGAGCUAUUUCAUUCAUUUUAUGUCCAUACAUCUAUUUAAUUAUUAAAGAUAAUGUACGCAUUUGUAAAUUUCAGAUUGUGUGUCUCUGAAAAUAACAAUAUUUAAAAUGUCUCUUAAAUUAUUAUAAAUUUUAAUUUACUCUCGAUUUAAAAUGGAACAUGUUGGUGAAAUAUUUUUUCUUCUUAAUAAAAUUGAAAUAAAUUAUGUUAGCAGUAGUUUGAAAUAUUUUAAAGAUGAUUAUUUUAUAAGGGAGUAAUAUGAAAUGAAAUUUACUUUUCAUGCGUGAAAUGUUGAAAAAGGACAAAGCAAGUGUCCCUGCUUUUAUUUUAUUUCAAAGUGGAGUCAUCUCACAUACUUUAGCUCUAUCAUUAGGAGCCGGCUAAGUUACGUUAAACGUAAUUUACGCCAGGCACAGCAAUAAUGACAAGUCCCAUGACUAGUAUUGUUGCUGUGUCUGACGUAAGUUACGUUUAACGUAACUUAGCCAAAGCCCUAUCAUUAAUAUAUAUUUAAAUUUAACACAUGCAUGUGGGUUACUUUUCCGUAAGUUCCUUAAUAUAUAUUUAACACAAAUCAUGGAAGAGAUGGGAGUAUAUCAAGAUGAUCAAAGCAUGAAACAAAAAUAUUUAAGAAGUAAAACACUGAAAAUGGAGAAGAGAUGCAAGCAAAAGAUAUUCUAAAGAAAAGCAAUCUAUCCCCUUUCGAGGGCAAACUUAUCAGGUUUAAGAAAAGUACAUGCUUUGGAUUGGUAGUUGCAGCCUUGCAGGAUAAUUGUUUUUGCCACUAUAUUAGUUGGAGGAGUUGAACCCAGUGAAGAAUGUUAUGGAAGAGCAAAUGAUAUUUCUGAUAGACUCUAUUUGAUUAUGUAGCCUGAAUAGAUGUCUUGUUGAAAGAUAUAUCAGUGCAUUAGUUCAUCCUUGUCUGUCAAUGUGUUUUUAAUGGUUUUUCCAAUUGUUUUUUUUUUUUUUGAAACUGAUUAAGCAUCAGGUUACUGCAUUACACAGAUAUAUAUACAACUGCUAUGACAGCAGGUCAUUACACUGAUAUUUACAAUCAGAUAUAUAUACAUGGGACUUAUAUUAUUACAUUUUUAUUCUAUGAAGUACAUGCCCAUCCCAAAUACCCCUCACGGAGGAGGGAUGUCUCUACUCCACUCGCAUUUCGCAAGGGAGAAAGACGUUUAUAGAAAUCUCCACACAAUUAUGUUUAAUUGGAGGAGGUUGAGUCCGUGGGGACUCGAACCAUUGCCCUCAAAGUCAUGCUUAACUUUGAGGGCAAUGGUCCACCACUGGGCUACAAGCCCAAGUGGCGGUUUUUCCAAUUGUUUAUUGCUAUAGAUUGAUUGUAAAUUGAUGUGAACUUAAUGUUGAAAUAUUUUCUCUUUAGUGGAAUGAAAGUUAAACAUUCAAGAUUAGAUUAUUCAAGGUCCACAUAGUAUGUGUUCCGUUGUGUUGUCUGUAAUUUUGCAUUUAAAUAAAUUUGAGUGCUGCCGUUUCGCUCCCACAAUCUCUCGCCUUUUUUUAAUUUUAAAAAUUAAAAUAUUAAUAAAAAACAAUAAAGAAAAUCGAAUCCUUUAUGUCAUUCCAUCUUUACAACUCUCUCUCACAAACUCCAUCUAACAGACUUCUCUCUUACUAUCUCGGUCGAACAAGACCAGUGACAAUGAUGACACGACCGCCGACGAUGAGAUGGUCAUCGCUAAAGAAUCGGGCCGUGUAUUUUACAAUUUCUUGGUUUGUGACAACAAUGGAAAACUCCUGAAAAUUUUGAAUUUGUAGUCGAGCAAAGGAAGAAGCAAGUUAUCUUCAAAGCAUUUUCCAGUAAUAGCUGAUGAAAUUUAAUACUUCAAGCUGGCCCUUUGCUGUCACAACUAGAUGCAUUUGCACUGUCAUUACAAUUUAUGGAAAUUAAAGUAAUUAAUGGUUCUAAUUAAUAGCUUCCCAAAAAACCAAUCUGCCCUUGUGAGAACCAAAGCAUUAAUUUCUUGUAAGAGCUGCAGAAGGCCAGAGAAUUUCAGAUCGUGAAAAGGAGUGUGUGAGUGAGAGAGAGAUCGUGAAAUAGUGAGAGACAAUGAGAGAGAGAGCCGCUCGACUGAGAUGGUGAGAGAGUUGCAAAAAUGGAGUAAGGAGCAGAUAAGAUUAUGUUUUCUUUAUUAUUUUUUAUUAAUAUUUUAAUUUUUUUAAUUAAAAAAGGGCGAGAGAUUUUGGGAGUGAAACGGCAGCAUGUUCCAAUAAAUUUUUACCAAAGUUUCUCUCGUGUUUCUCUCACCUUUCUAGAUACCAAGCAUUUUCCAAUAAAUUUUUACUAAAAACUUAGCAAGCCCUUGAAACUUUGGUCAAAAUUAUUGUUAUUAUUACUUUUAGAGGAAAAACUUUUAUUAAAACCUCAUUAACACAAUUCUUAAUUAAAAUUAUAAGUUUGUGUUGGUGUAAGGAUUUGCAGGAGCAAUUACUGCCUAGCCAAGUGUCAAAAGCACAAAAUAAAUCAAGAGAAAGUAGACAUGAAUUAGGAUCCAAUGAAAUUUAAAUCCCGGAGAAAAGAAAUAAUCAUGCAGAUUAUCAAGAUUUCAAUAAGGGAUAUUGAUAUCCUAUUUUGAUUAAUAAUAUCCUUUUACUGUGUUAACUCAAAAAAUAUGUAUAUUCUAAUAUUUUACAAUAAAUAGAAAUCUAAUAUUAAAAUAAAUGUGAUAUAUAUAUAUAUAUAUUAAAUAAUUUAAAUAUAAAAAAUAUUUUAAUGUUUUACAAUCUACUACACAUAUUUUAUUAAGUUAAUAUAAUUUUUCAAAUAAAUAGGGACAUAAUAUUAAAAUAAAUUUAUAAAAAUUUAAAUUAUUUUGAAUUUAAAAUAAUUUUAAUAUUAUUAAUAUGUUAGAUAUGUUUGAUUAAUUAUAAAAAUUAUUUACGCAAAUUUUUUUAAUAUUUUCAGUAGAUAUAAAUAUAUUACUUACAUUUUGAUUAUUUAACUAUUAUUAUUCUACAAUUAUUUAUAUAAUGUUUGCACUUAUUAGAAUAUAUUUAAAGUCAAAUCUUUUGCACUUCUACCUAGCUAGAAUUAUUGGACGCAGAGAAAUAAGCAUAUAUGCUUUAUAACUUUAGAAAUCGAAUUAUCUAUACAAAUUGAUUUUAGCUGGAAAAAAAGUGAGCUGAAUGAUAUAGGCGAUUAGUGUGGUAAUAUUUCAUAGAGUUAGACUAUUGAAUUUGGCACCCCUCCAAUCUUCUCAUGAUUACCUUUUUGAGUUAUUAAUACACUUCUAAUUUUUCGUUUAAUUUUUUUUAUUGUUAUACUCAAAGUAGUAUUGUGAUAUUUUAUAUUUCUUUUGCAAUCUUAUUAUUAUUUUACACAAAAUUAAAAAGUUUUCUAGGUGAUGAACUUUUGAGUUUUGAACAUUAAUCAUUGGCUUAAAUUUCAUAUAUUUUACAUUAUAAUUUGAAAUUAAGUACGAAAAUAUUUAAUAAAUUAUGAAAAGAUUAACAGAUUAUUCUAAAUUGAUACAACUUAUUUUAGUUAAAUAAAAAGUAACAGGUAAAAAAAAAAAGGAUUGGUUAUGAAAUUUGUUGGAAAAAAAUCUGUGUGUGUUUAAUUUUUAUUUGUCCUUAAUUGUAAUUUAUUUGAAGUGAGGUUUUAUAAGGAUAAUGAAGGGGUGCCAUAGUUUCACUCUAUUUCAUAUGGAGAGAGAAGUAAAAGGUACACCUGAGGUUAAUGGAAAGGACUUCGAAAGUUUCUUUUGAUUAUAAUACUGUUUGUUCUAAUUAACUUAAAAAAUUUUACUUUAAUAUUUUAUAAUAAAUUAAAUUUUAAUCUUAAAAUAAGUAUAAUCAUAUAUUUUAAAAUAAUCUUAAAAUAAAUACAAUCAUAUAUUUUAAAAUAAUCUUAAAAUAAAUACAAUCAUAUAUUUUAAAAUAAUCUUAAAAUAAAUACAAUCAUAUAUUUUAAAAUAAUCUUUAUAUUUAAAAUUUAUUUAUUUGUACAUAUUUUAUAAUAAAUAUAACACAUACUAUUAAAAUAAUAUAUAAAAAAUUAAAGUAUUUUGAAUAUUAUAUAAAAUAACUUUAAGAUUCUUAAUAUGUAAGAUAUAUUUUAUUAAUUUAAAAUUCUAUUUAAAAUUUUAUUAAUUUAAAAUUCUAUUUAACCCAAAGAUUUAUUUAAGAUAAAUUAAUAAUCAUAUUUUUUAAAUCAUUUCAAAUAUUAAAAAAUAUUUUGAUAUUACUAGUCUAUUAAAUAGAUUAAAUAUUUUUAUUAUUUUGUACUAAUCAAAAGUUACAGCUCGAAUGAUAUUAUGAGAACAGAAUUUUUAUGUCUUUAUUAAAAAUUUGGGUUUGUAUAAUUAUUUUUUCAAAUGUUAGGGGCAUAGCUGUCUUUUUACUUUUAUAUAUGUGAACCGCGGUGGUGAAAAAGUGUGAUUUAAUAUUAGUUAUUUAAAUAAUAUCUGAAUUAAAGAUGUACAGAGAAGAAAUUUCGGUGGGCAUUUUAGUCUUUUAACGAUUAUCAUGAUUAGGGAUUAGGUCCUGCUCUUGAAACGUUGGUCAGAAAAGUUCUAAAAUGCGUACAUUAUCUUUACUUUAAAAAAGUUAUUUUAUUUUAUUACAAAUUAAUGCCGACAAGAAAAAGCAAGAUCUUAAANNNNNNNNNNNNNNNNNNNNNNNNNNNNNNNNNNNNNNNNNNNNNNNNNNNNNNNNNNNNNNNNNNNNNNNNNNNNNNNNNNNNNNNNNNNNNNNNNNNNAUAAAGAUGAAGAAAAGGGCAAAAAAAUAUUAAUGAUUAACGAAAUCUCUAUCCAAAUUGAUUUUAGCAGGAAAAAAGUGAGCUAAAUGAUGUAGACGAUUAGUGGUAAUAUUUCAUAGAGUUAGACUAUUGGCACCCUUCCAAUCUUCUCACGAAUCCUCUUUUUGAGUUAUAUUUAUUUUAUUUUUAAAAUAUCUUUUUUCUCUUUUACUACACUUCUAAUUUUUCAUUUAAUUUUUUUAUUGUUAAACUCAAAGUAGUAUUGUGAUAUUUUUAAUUUCUUUUGCAAUCUUAUUAUUACUCUGCAUAUAAAUUAAAAAGUUUUUUAGGUGAUGAAUUUUUGAAUGUUAAUCAUUAGCUUAAAUUUCACAUAUUUUACAUUACAAUUUGAAAUUUAAUAUGAAAAUAUUUAAUCAAUAAGAAUUAUGAAAAGAUUAAUAAAUUAUUCUAAAUUUAUACAACUUAUUUUAGUUAGAUCAGAAGUAGCAGGUUAACAAAAGAAAGGAUUGGUUAUGAAAUUUGUUGGAAAAAAAUCUAUGUGUGUUUAAUUUUUAUUCGUUGUUAACUCUAAUUAAGUAGGUUAAAUAUUUUUGUUAUUUUUUACUUAUCAAAAAAUUUAAGAUCAAUAUUUUUAGUUACCAUUCGAAGGAUAUUAUGACAAAAACAGAAUUUUCACUUCUUUGUUAAAAAUUUGGGGGUUUGUGUAACUAUUUUUUCAAAUGUUAGGGGCAUAUCUGUCUUUUUACUCUAUAUAUAUGAACCAUGGUGGUGAAAAAGCGUGAUUUAAUGUUAUUUAUUUAAAUAAUAUCUCAAUUAAAAAUGUAAGGAGAAGAAAUUUCGGUGGGCAUUUUAGUCUUUUAACGAUUAUCAUGGUUAGGCCCUGGUCUUGAAACGUUGGUCAGAAAAGUUCUAAAAUGCGUUCAUUUGUCUUUACGCCAACAAUAAAAAGCAAGAUCUUAGUGUCCCACAAAAGCAAAUCGUAAUAUUCCGCAAUGGAGUUAGAUCCGCAAAAGCAAACAAAUUCUUUUAUUAAACUACAAAUUAAAGUGGAAUCAUUUACUAAACAACAAAUUAAAUUUGAAAUAUUUAAAUAGUCGUGCGUUAGACGAUUAGAGACUCUUAUUAAAGGCAAGUACAAAGUAGUGAAGAAUCGAAUAUUUCUAUUGUCUAGUCUUUUUUUAAAAAAAAUUUUCUUUUAUUAUUUUUCAGAAUAUGUUUUGGUGAUUACUAUUGGGUUAUUAUUCAGAGUUAUUGUUAUCUUCCGGGGCAGUUUCUGUUCAUCGAAUUCGUUAAUAAAAUUUUAAAACUCUUAUUGAAAGAAUGUUUUUCCGUUAUCUUUUUUAUAAUCUAAUUUUAAGUGUAAGAAGUAGUCAUUUUAGAAUUUGGGUCUUGAAUCGAAUUUCAAUGCAUGAAUUAAUAUUUAAAAAAAAUUUACUACAUGCAGUUUAGGUUACAAACUAUUUUUUGCAAAGUUGACUAUGAAAUUGGAGAAAUUAAGUAAUUUAUAAUGUUUGCAAAGAAAGAGACCAACAUACUUCCAAUUACACUAUAUCUCAAUUAUCAUAAUGUUAAGAUUAAACUAACUUAAAAUAAAAUUUAUUUAAAAAGUUUAUCAAACGCAGUCUAAUUUUAUUAACUUGAAGAGAUAAUAGUUAUAGAAAUUAUUAUUCUAACUUAAUUAGUAAAAGUGGUAUAAAGGUUAAGUGUGCACUAAAUCUAUUUAAAUUUUUUUCCAGUAUAACUAACAGAGGUCAUUACUAGAAUUAUAUUACUAGUCUAUUAGAUAGAAAAAAUUAUUUAUAUUGUUUUAUAUUUAUUAAAAAAAUUUAAAGUCAAUCUUUUUAAUUACUAUUUAAAGGAUAUUAUAAUUAAAAAAAUUUUAAUGUCUUCAUUAAAAAUUUAAAAUUUUAUAUGACCGUUAUCUAAAUAUUUAAAGUGUAACUGUCAUUUUCUCAUAUAUAUAUAUAAUUUCAUCAACCCCUUAUACUUUAUGUUAUUUAUAUUUUAUUCAUGAAUAUUAUAAAUUUUUUGAAAUAUAAAAUUUCGUUUAACCCUUUAUACUCAAUUUUAUUUUAUUAAAACCCUAGAGUAUGAAUUCGUCCCUAUAAUAUUAAAUUCUCAAAAUAACUUCCAUUUAAUUAAAAAAUAUAAUUAUUAUUAAAUGAAUUAUAAUUAUUAUUAUUAUGUUAUUAUAAUCAUAAAAAGCGAGAUCAUAUUCCACAAAAGCAUAAGUGACAAAACAACCAACUGGAUUCUUUUAUUAAUCAACAAAUUGUAUAGUCUUUUUCAAAUUGUUAUAAAUUGGUGGCCCCUACAAUCCUCAAUAAUUGUACCGAAAUUCACAAGUUGGUGGGCCCUACAAUUCUGUUCCGAUAAUUUAACUGUGCAAGUGCUCAUUCACAAUCUUCCAGGUCAUGCUCUUAACAAUUGUUUUUUCUUUUCUGCACGCCCUUUCAUGCUCUUAAUAAUUGAAGAGCAUACUUUUCAAAUGUGAAGCCGCAUCUAAUGUCGCUAAUUUAAUUUGGGAUUAAAUUACGGGACUAUUAUAUUGCAGUGUGCACUAAUUUUUAUGUUUAUCUAAACUCUUCAAAUUUAAAACAUAUUAUGGCAUAAAUAAGAAUGUAACAAUAACAAAAGAGUAAGAAAGUGUAGAGAAAAUCUUGCAGAAAUAUAAAUAAUAUUUAUUUUUAAAAUAAUAUUAAUAUUUAAAAUAAUUUUUAAUAUUUUAUGGUCCAUUAGAUAUAUUUUAUUAUAUUAAAAUAAAUUUUAUAAUAAAUAAAAACAUACUAUUAAAAUGAAUAUAUAUAGAAAAUUUAGAGUAUUUUAAGUAUUAUAUAAAAUAAUUUUAAUAAAAUAUGUGAGAUAUUCAUAUUUUAUUAAUUUAAGAUACCAUUUAACCUAAAGAUUUAUUUAUGAUAAAUUAAUAAUUAUAUUUUUGAAAUUACUUCAAAUAUUAAAAAAAUUAAUAUUACUAAUAUAUUAGAUAGAUUAAAUUAUAUAUAUUAUUUUUACUUAUUAAAAAAAUUUUAAAAUUAUUUUUAAUUACUAUUCAAAAAACGUAUUCAAAAAACAUAAUGAUAAAAAAAUCUUAACAUCUUUAUUAAAAAAUUAAAAACUUAUAUGAUAAAUUCUCUAAAUAUUUACGGUAUAUGUGAACCACGGUGGAUAAGCUUUAUUUAAUAUUAUUGAUUUAAAUAAUAUGUCAAUUAAAAAUGUACAGAGAAGAAAUUUCGGUGGGUAUUUUAGUCUUUUAAGCAAUUAUCAUGAUCAGAUCAGCCUUUAGCCUUCAAACGUCGGUCAGAAAAGUUUUAAAAUUAAUGCUAAAUUGUUUUUCACUUUUAACGUUGGUGGCCUUGAAAUUGCUUGUAUUUUAUUAAAAAUUAAUGCUAACAAGAAAAAGCUAGGUCAUAUUCCACAAAAUCAAAAGUGACAAAACAACCAGCUGGUUUCUUUUACUAAACUACAAAUUAAAAUAAAUUUUUUCGAUAAAUUACAAAUUAAAGUGGAUUCUUUUGAAUACAAAUGGGACAGACGAUUAGGCUCUUUUUAUUAGAGGCAAGUAAAAACUAGUCAAGAAUCGAACAGUCUUUUUCCAAUUCUUGUUUUAUUAUUUUUCAAAACUAGUUUUUGGUAAUUACAACCGGGUCAUUAAUCAUUAUUCAGAGUUAUCUUCCGGGGCAGUUUCUGUUCAUCGAAUUCGUUAAUAAAAUGUUAAAACUCUUAUUGAAAGAAUGUUUUUCCGUUAUCUUUUUUAUAAUCUAAUUUUAAGUGUAAGAAGUAGUCAUUUUAGAAUUUGGGUCUUGAAUCGAAUUUCAAUGCAUGAAUUAAUAUUUAAAAAAAAUUUACUACAUGCAGUUUAGGUUACAAACUAUUUUUUGCAAAGUUGACUAUGAAAUUGGAGAAAUUAAGUAAUUUAUAAUGUUUGCAAAGAAAGAGACCAACAUACUUCCAAUUACACUAUAUCUCAAUUAUCAUAAUGUUAAGAUUAAACUAACUUAAAAUAAAAUUUAUUUAAAAAGUUUAUCAAACGCAGUCUAAUUUUAUUAACUUGAAGAGAUAAUAGUUAUAGAAAUUAUUAUUCUAACUUAAUUAGUAAAAGUGGUAUAAAGGUUAAGUGUGCACUAAAUCUAUUUAAAUUUUUUUCCAGUAUAACUAACAGAGGUCAUUACUAGAAUUAUAUUACUAGUCUAUUAGAUAGAAAAAAUUAUUUAUAUUGUUUUAUAUUUAUUAAAAAAAUUUAAAGUCAAUCUUUUUAAUUACUAUUAAAGGAUAUUAUAAUUAAAAAAANNNNNNNNNNNNNNNNNNNNNNNNNNNNNNNNNNNNNNNNNNNNNNNNNNNNNNNNNNNNNNNNNNNNNNNNNNNNNNNNNNNNNNNNNNNNNNNNNNNNNNNNNNNNNNNNNNNNNNNNNNNNNNNNNNNNNNNNNNNNNNNNNNNNNNNNNNNNNNNNNNNNNNNNNNNNNNNNNNNNNNNNNNNNNNNNNNNNNNNNNNNNNNNNNNNNNNNNNNNNNNNNNNNNNNNNNNNNNNNNNNNNNNNNNNNNNNNNNNNNNNNNNNNNNNNNNNNNNNNNNNNNNNNNNNNNNNNNNNNNNNNNNNNNNNNNNNNNNNNNNNNNNNNNNNNNNNNNNNNNNNNNNNNNNNNNNNNNNNNNNNNNNNNNNNNNNNNNNNNNNNNNNNNNNNNNNNNNNNNNNNNNNNNNNNNNNNNNNNNNNNNNNNNNNNNNNNNNNNNNNNNNNNNNAUUGUGGGCACUCUUGUUCGUGCAUGUUUGCUAGAAGAGAUGGAAGAUGAUAAAGUAAAAAUGCAUGACGUUGUUCGUGAUAUGGCUUUAUGGAUAGCUUGUGAAAUUGAGAAGGAGAAGAGAAACUUUUUGGUUUGUGCAGGUGCUCGAUUAGAAGAGGCACCGGGUGUUAAAGAAUGGGAAAAUGUGAGAAGAUUGUCAUUGAUGCAAAACCAAAUUGAAACUGUGUCAGAGAUUCCCGCAUGCCCUCAUCUCCAUACUCUAUUUCUUGCCUCUAAUAGGAAUUUCAGGAUGAUCACGGAUGGCUUCUUUCAAUUUAUGCCUUCUCUCAAAGUUUUGAAGAUGUCACGCUGUGGGCAAUUCGAAGGUUUUCAAUUACCUGUUGGGAUGUCAGAGUUGGGUUCAUCACUAGAACUUCUUGAUAUUUCACAUACCACCAUAAGAGAGUUACCCGAAGAGUUAAAGUUGCUGGUAAAUCUGAAAUGUUUGAAUUUGAGGUGGACAGGUGCGUUAAUUAGAAUUCCACGGGGACUAAUAUCAAAAUUUUCAAGGUUACGUGUGUUGAGAAUGUUGGGUACUGGCGGGUUCAUUUUUUAUGAAGCACCAGAAGACAGCGUUUUAUUUGGUGGGGGUGAAGUUUUGAUACAGGAAUUGCUCGGUUUGAAAUAUUUAGAGGUAUUGGAGUUGACCUUGGGAAGUUAUCAUGCUCUCCAAAUUCUUUUGAGCUCAAAUAAGUUAAAAAGUUGUAUUCGAUCUCUUUACCUCUAUUUGACCGGAGAUAAAAAGUCGAUUAUUGAUGCUACGGCUUUCACAGACCUAAACCACCUCAAUGAAUUAUGGAUUGAUAAUGGAAUUGAGUUGGAAGAAUUGAAGAUUGAUUAUACGGAGAUAGUACGAAAAAGGCGGGAACCUUUUGUUUUCCACAGCCUUCACCUUGUUACGAUAUAUAGUUGCCAUAAAUUGAAAGAUUCGACAUUCCUCGCUUUUGCUCCAAACCUCAAGUCUCUUUCGCUAUUCAAAUGCCGUGCUAUGGAAGAAAUAAUCAGCGUCGGAAAAAUUGCUGAGAAUCCUGAGAUGAUGGGACAUAUAAGCCCUUUUGAAAAUCUCAAAAGUCUUGAUCUAUCAUAUUUGCCGGAGUUGAAGAGCAUUUUCUGGAAGCCAUUGCCUUUCACUCAUCUCAAAGAAAUGGGGGUAAGAGCAUGUGAUCAGCUUAGAAAGCUUCCACUCGAUUCCAACAGUGCAAAAGAGCGUAAAUUUGUAAUUCGUGGAGAAGAAGACUGGUGGAACCGACUUCAAUGGGAGGAUGAAGCCACUCAAAUUGCUUUUCGUUCCUGUUUCCAACCUGAUUCCUGAGCGGUGGUCGCAAAAUUUGAUUUCUGGUGAGUGCGUUUGUCUUUUAAAAGAAGAAUUUAAAAGAAAUUUAUUCUUGACGUUUUCUUCACUGUUUUUAUUUCAGUCUCUCUCUCUCUCUUUUUGUCUUCUGCUAAUCACAAUUAAAUGUUGAAUUAAUGGAAUUAAUGCUUCAUAAAUUUGCCGGCACUGCCAUUACUUUUUUUUUUUUUAAUACAAAUUGAUACUUUAUUUAUAUCUUCUUAGCGAUUUAAUUUCCUGUCAAUUGACGAACGAGAAGAACAUAUGACUUGAACCAAUGCUCGCAUAAACUUGCUGUAAAAAGAUAUAAUCUCACUGAAAUGCACACGCCUAGAAUGAAUAGAAUUAAAACAGGGAAAAUAUUAAGUAUAUUAGCCCUCUUUACCGAAAAUCAAAUGACAAUAAAUUUUUUGAAGUUUUGAUUUUCUAUGGUCAAUUCCACCUUUUGCAAUUUCUUCUGUUCUAACAAAAACCAAUUUCUUUGUUCAAGUAUUUUCGUUUGGGUAUUAAUAAUUCUCCACCGAAAGAGUGAACUCUUGCUCAAGGGAUCUCUAAUCAAUAGCCGGAAGGGCGCCGAGACCUGAUCGGACCUAGGCCCAAGUUUGGUCUUAAAGCCUGGGCUUGAGCCUGGCAAUUAAAUUAAAACAGUAAUUGAUUUCUUGAAUGAAUUGUCGUGUAAUUGAUUUAUGGGGGAUGACACAUCAACAUACUUGAAAAUACACUAAUCUCAGCAUCAUCCGUUAAUAACUUUUAGAUUUAUGGGCAAUCAAUAGUUAAAUUAGUUGUCAUUAAUACUAAAUAAUUUUUACUUUUUUUGUCUCUUCUAGAGGAUCUUCUAGAAAAAUGCAUCCACAAUUAAAUUUAAUACUUUACAUAAUAAAGAAAGCAUAAAUGUUAAAUUUAAGAAACUGCAUUGUAUUUCAGCUGAAGUUGACUUUAAUAUUUAGGGUAGAAAAAAAUUAAAUCCUUAAUGUGUUUAAUUUCUAUCACUUGUGUCAUUAAAAUUUUCUAGUCACCCUAACCAAUUACAUCUCAACCCACUUUUUUUUGGAUGAUUUUAUUUUUACACUAUUAUUUUCAACAUUUUUUUUUCCUUUUAACACCAACAUUAGUGUAUGUUACGUAACAUAAUCCAUAUUUGGAUAAUUUGAAAUUUGUUUGUGUUUUAUCUCAAAAUAGAGCUUCAAUCAAUUUGUACCUCAUAAAUUCACAAUAUCUGGCAUAUUGUCAAAUGUGCUUAUCCUUUUGCUUGACAUGUCAUUUUAAAAUUGUCAUUCAAUGUCAAAAAAUCACAUCAACUAAUGGCCGACUACUUUAAUUUGAAAGCAUGCGUGCGAUCGCCAAUAAUUAUAACUUAAUUGUUAUAUUGAAAUUUUUUUCUUUAUAAUUUAAGUUUAAUACUGCUACAUGUGUGGCACAUAAGUUGGAAAAUAUAACAUAAAAUUUGAAAAAUGUGUAGUUUUCGUUCCUUUUUUUUCUAAAAAAAUGGGAAAAAAGAAUGUAAUUUUGUUUAAAUUACUGUUGUCAUAACAAUUAUUAUUUUAUUGAUUAAUUGGCAGAGAAUCGUAAUGGUUUCGCAUGGUUGUUAAAACAUUGGAAAGUCCACUACAUCAUCGGUUAAUAACUUUCAGAUUUAUGGUUAAUUAAUAGCUGAGAUUUAUUAUCAUUAAUGCUAAAUAUUUUUUCUCUCUCCUGGAGGAUCAUCCACAGGCAGGUGCUUCCUGACGAUGACAAAAUUUUGGGCAGGCAGGUGCUUCCUGACUUUCACACGGUAAUUCUCAAAUUCUGAUUUCACCAUAUUUUAAUUACUGAUUAGCAUAUAUUCAAGUGCUCUCCAUUAUAAUGGAAGCCGCCGCCUCACUCGUAAUUCCAAACUUUAUCUUUUUUUCCUUUUUUAAAUUAAUGCAAGUAGCCGCUGUCCUUUCUAUUAAUUAAUUAAUUCGGCCGCCCACAUUUCUUUUCCUAAUGUCUUCUACUGUCGAGUUUAUUUUAUUUUCUCUUUAUUAUUAAAAUAUACUUAUAAUAAUAAAAAAAUAAAAAUUAACAUAUCAAAAUAUAAUUUAACAGAAAAUUAAGAUAAAAAAUUAAAAAUAAAUAAAUUAUGAGCAUAUCAAUCAAUAAAUGAAAAAUAAUAAUUUUUAUUUUUAUUAAAUAUAAAUUUUUCAGUAUUAAUCAAUUAUCUGAAUAAAUAAAAUCAUUUAAAAAUAAAUAAAUAAAUUAUUCUUAAAAAAAAAAAAAAAACUUUUUAUAACACUCACUAUGCUGGUUGUAGGGUUGACGCUUUGGGUACUGAAGCUAGUAACUUCUACAAGUAGUCUUAAGUUGACUGGCAACAACUAUAUUGGCAUUUAGAAAUAAUGUACUGCAACCAUAUUGGCAUGUUCAAAUGUUCUUAUUAUUGUAUUGGUGUGUCAAUAUUAUCUCUAACGGUUUUAUAAAUAAAAAAAUAAUCUAAAUUUAUAAUUUAACAUAAAAUAAAAUAAUUGGUAGAAAAACAAUUAUGGUUCAUUUACUUAUCAGUAAUCAGAAUAGACUGAAAUCGAAAUGAGUUGUAUUACUGUUGAUGUGUUUAUGUUGUACUCGAAUCGAAAUGAAUUAUUUUAAAUUACUAAAAUAUCCUUGGUCUGUUAUUCUAAUUAUUAUUAUUAUUUAAUAUUUAUUAUAAUAUUUUUCAUAUCAUUAAAAAAAAAUAAUAAUGAUGAUAAUAUUCUCAUUAUUGUUUGUUACAUUAUUAUUAUUCAAAAAAAUUAUUGUUAAUAACAAUAAUUACUUUAUUUCAAUAAUAAUAAUGAUAAAAUUAAUAAUAAUAAACAUGACAACAACAAUAAUUAUUUAUUAUGCCAAAAAAUAACAAUAAUAAUAAGAAUAAUAAUCAUCAUCAUUUUUUUGCCAAAGAAGCAUUAUCAUCAUCAUUUCAAAAAAAAAAUCAUCAUCAUCAUCAUCAUUUUUGUAGUGGCUACCUAUCGGCUGCUGCUUUCAUGUGAGAUUGACUUGCGACGCUUCAACGGCUAUUAUUUCUGACAAUGUCAGGUGUUGCUAUUUCAAUUUAGGAAGAAGUUGUUUCGGUGUGCUAGCGAUGGGAGAUGUUGUGGCUGCGAUUCGGGGAGCUACUAGUUUAUUGCACUAAUAACGGCAGGUGCUGUUGCUUGAUGCGAGGUCCAUGGCCAGUUGUCAGCAGUUCGACUUUGGUAUGGGUGCUGCUGGUUCGAUUUUAGGUGUUGUCCAAUUUCAUUUUCAGGAUUUUAAUUUUAUUUUUCUUUUAUAUUUUCAUUAAUUAAUCAGGGUAAAAUUGGAUUUUAGAAUUUAGAAUGAAGGUAAUUUUGUUAAUAAUGGAAAUGAGAUUCUGAUUGUCGAGAAUGAGCUUACACAAACAACUAUAAAUUAAGUGAAAACAAAACACUUUUUCUCUUUGUGUGAUUAAAACAUGAUAUGUACCAUAAAUAAAUAAGUAAAAAAUAAAUCAACACAAUCUAAAACAGUAAACAAAUUACAAGAGGCACAGAUUUUUAUGUGAAACACCGAAAAUGGAAAAAACCACAGCAUCUUAGUUUGAUAUAAUCUUCUACUAUAUUAAUGGGAUUAUAGCACAAAUUCUUUCCUAUAUAACACUAGAGAUUAACAACAUCAAGAAUCUCAAUAAUCUUGACUUACAAUACAGCCUAAUAUUUGUCUCUCUAAUAAGUAGAUAUCUAAAAUAACAGUCUCUAAUAAGUAUGUAUCUAAAAUAAUAGUCAACAAGAGGAUAAAACAAAAAUUAAGAUUAGUAGGAUGUGUAUAAGGUGAUGCUAUCAAUUUAUCUUCUAAAUUUGAGAAAAAUAGUUAAAUUCACUUUUUCGAUUGUCCGACCAAAAAUGGAAACCCUUGCCCCAAAACCAAAGGAAUCACCAUUAUGUUUUUCUCUCUCUCUCUCUCUAUCUCGUUCUUUUCUUCUUCUUUUCUUAAUGUUAGCCAUCACUUGCUUUUAUUCUUUAUAGCAUUCAAAAAGCUACUUUUAAUGGUAAAUUUCAUUUAAGUCUGCAACUUAGUGAUAAUUGCACACCAAACAAUCCUUACAUAGUGUUUUGGGCCCUCAAAUGAGAUGAAUACAACAAAUCUCCCCCUUUAAAUCAUGUGGGGGGCACCGCAAGCCCGCUAUUUGCAUAUAGCUUUUCAGCUUCUCCUUGAAUAAUGACUUUGUCAUCAUACAUAAUCCAUUCUUCGUUGUGUAAAUCUUCUCAAGCUGUAACUGUUCCUUCUCAAGCUGUAAUUAUUCCUUCUCAAGCACGUCUCGUAUCUAAUGAUACCUUACAUCAAUAUGCUUAGAUUUCGAAUAGUAUAACAGCACUCUGACUAUCGUAGUACAUAACAUAGCUGUCUUGUUUUACACCCAGCUCUUGUAGGAAAUUCUUCGUCCACAAUAUUUUUUUGCAACCUUCAAUAAUUGUAAUAUCAUUUGCUUUAGUGGUAGAAAAGGCAACUUAUUACUAAAGUUUAGAUUGCGAUGAGACUGUUCCCCCUGCAAAAGUGAGCAAACAUCCUAGUAGGAAUUUUUCGGAAUCAACAGCUCCUGCCAUAUCUACACACUUGUAACACAGGUUUGUCACCACCAAAAUAUAAACAUGCUCUGGAAAUGCAUCUAAGAUAUCUGAGAAUUUUUCACUGUUGUCCAGUGCUCUUUACCGAGGUUGAAGAGAAACCACUGACUACACUAACUGUAUAGGCAAUAUUUGGUCUUGUACAAAUUAUGGCGUACAAUAAACUGCCAACUGCUGAAGCAUAAGGAACUCCUCUCAUGGAGAAAUGGGUUUUACUCUUGAGAUUUUUGGGACCAUGAAGAAUAAAGAUGUAAUUUCUUAUACUGCCAUUGUUUCGGGAUAUAUAAAUAGAGAACAAGUCGAUAUAGCUCGACAGUGUUUUGAUCAGAUGCCAGAACGAGAUUAUGUCUUAUGGACUACCAUGAUUGAUGGGUACCUUCGAGUGAAUAGGUUCAGAGAGGCUUUGACACUUUUUCAGGAGAUACAAACUUCAAAUAUAAUGGGAGACGAGUUUACCAUUGUUAGCAUUCUUACAGCUCGUGCGAAUCUGGGGGCACUAGAACUGGGAGAAUGGAUAAAGACUUAUAUUGACAAAAACAAAGUCAAGAAUGAUAUAUUUGCGGGGAAUGCUUUGAUAGACAUGUACUGUAAAUGUACUGUAAAUGCGGAGAUGUUGAGAAAGCUCAAAAGGUAUUCAGGAAGAUGCUUUGAAAGGUCAAAUUCACAUGGACGACCAUGAUUGUUGGCCUUGCCAUCAGUGGAAAUGGUGAUAAAGCUCUUGAUAUGUUUUCCCAAAUGCUCAGGGCUUCGAUCAAACCAGAUGAGGUAGCUUAUGUUGGUGUUCUGUCUGCCCGUACUCACAAUGGUAACGAAACUUUUGUGAUAAAUAGUUGCAACUUAAGGUGAGAACUGGAGGAAGGGAAAUAGAUUGAAGUUGUUCAAUCAUCAGUAGUUGCUACUUGGUUUUAAGUUGUUCAAUCAUCGGUCGUCUCUAUUUGGUUUUCUCCAAUAUCUCAUCUUCAAUUUUGACUCAGAUUGUAUCUUACCACUAGUAAUUACAUAGACUUGCUGCCAAAGGUAAGAAUGGGAAUAAAUUAAAUAGAUUAUGUCGAAAACGAAAUAAAUUUACUAUUGUUCUGUUCAUUCUAUUUGUUUCCUACAAAAUAUUUCUCCUGCCUAAAAUUUUUUGAAUCAGUAAGUUUUUACCUUAUGGAUGAAUUGUGUUGAGAGUAAUUCCAUUUCUCAGUCUCUUUAUGUUUCAAUGAAGACGUAAAACUUGUGUUCUAGUGCACCAACGUUUAUGCUUCUUACAAUUUGACUUUAAUUUACUUUGUAAAAUUUUUGUCAAAAAGUACUAAAAAGUAGUGCACCAAACACCAACUUUAUUACAGAGAGGACUUUAGUUAAAUUUUAAGAAAACACUCAAAAGAAAGAGUUGUAAAUUAUUAUAAAAAUAUUUCACAUAAAUAAAAGCCAUCCCAUGCUGCAAAGAUCUUGCUAUAAUCACCAAAAACUAUCGGGAGCUUUUAGGGUUUCCAUAAAAAUGCCAUUUCGUUCCAUGUAUAUGAUUCUAUAGUCUCACUGGCAAGUAAACCACAGCCCAACAGCACUGACUGUCCAUGAUGAUUCACCCCAAUGAACGAAACCAGCGUUGCAUCAUAUCUUUCUGUCAAGCAUGUAAUAUCAAUUGAUUUGAGCUAUUAACAUCAUUUCCAAAUACUCCAUUGGCAUCUACAUUACCAUUUCCCUCGGCAUCAAUGAUAAGAGUUCGAAACAGUCUAAUCUUUUGAACUUCUUCAGCACCAUCUAAGAGCAAUGUUCUUUUGGUUCCAAUACCCAUGUGCUUAUGAUAUUUGUAAAAUAAUUAUUUGUAAAAUAAUUAGUUCAAUUUUGACAUAAUACGGAAUAAACACAACCUGCCAAUCUAAGUUACUAUCUUUUCCCGUCAUCAGGUACCUGUUUGAAAAAUAAUUAUAUACAAUUUUAUUUGCGUCGUCCCUCUAAAAAUUUGGGACUCAAAUGUUAUUUCUAAUUGCUAAAAGUACGAAAUUGCCCCCUUUCUCUUCAGCUAAAGGAGUGCAAAGUCAUCUGUAUAAUUGAAUCUGCAUCAUCAGUUUCUAUUGCUGGCUGGUGUUACUGCAUGCUUACAGUUGCUUGACAAAGUGAGCCAGUUUUUUGUUUAUUAAUUUUUUUUCUUGUCGAGACAGUCACAAAGUAUUACUUGUUCUAUUUGAGAAUGAUGUGAAUCAAUUUUUCAAUUAUGCAUUCUGUGGUAAUUAUUGUGAAUUUAGUUUCAUUUGUCUUGUCUCCUGCAAAUUUUGAAGAAAAUGCAGACAUACAAAUUUACAAUAUGUAUUUGCGUUAGUAUAAAAACAAUUGUUAGAUGAUUAAAGCGAUUUAUUUUUUUUUUUACAGCAUUUGAUUGUAUUAGUUAAAAUCAUUUUUUAAGGAUAAAAAUAAAUAGAAAAUUAUUCUCAUGUAGUGUGGAAAUCUUUUCUAAUUUCUUGUUGACUUGUACAUUUAUUUCAGAAUUUCCAUUCAUUAAUUCUACUGUUUUAAUCUUUGACUUAGCUACCGUAGUUGACUUUUUAUAUCAAAGGCUUAAACAGCAUGCAUUUUUGAAUUGACUGAGAAUAAUUUGGUGGACAAAUUACUAGUAAAGGACUUCAAAUGGUUGAAUUGACUGUGGGUUUUUCAUGCCCAAGUCACUCGUCACGUCGUUUCAUCGAAACAAAGUGCCCGGUGCAAAUGGUGUGAUGUAAAACACCUUUUUAAAUUGUCAUUUUUUUUCCUUUGCUUUUGCUUUAAUUUUCUAAAUGCUCAACGCCAUAAAUCCAUGUAUUCUUAAUUUUCGUUUGCUGUAUUGAUUCCCAACCCUCUAUGUCACAAGGUUUUGAAUGCCAGUAAUUAAGUUAAAUUAAACAUAUUUUAAGUCCUACUUUAAAUUAUUGAAAAAUGUAUUAUGGUUGAACUGAAUUUUAACUAAAAAAUAUAUACAAAAUAAAAGAUUAAUCAUAUCUUUUUAUGAGGAAGGUCAGUCAUCAUUCUGACCACAGACACUUAAAAUUAAUUGAGUGGAAUAUUGCAAAAUAUAUAUAAACCAUGCCAAAACUAGAUGUUUGAGUAAUGAAAACGAGAAUUCAUAUGACUCAGAAAUAUGGUCGCUUUCCUUUUUCUGAAAGGCAAAAAAAAAGGGGGAACCAAAAAGGACCAAAAUGAACAAAAAUGGAAGGCGAAGGUAAGCAGACAUGUUAUAUGUUUUACCUAAGAUGCCAAAUGCAACUCCCCAUUGAUGGUGAUCGAACAUUAUGGCCAUUUUCUUAGUAAACAAAAAAUGAAUUUUGAACACUCAACAACGAAACUUGAGCAGAAGAUCAAGCAAGGGCCUCGAUCUCAAAGAAGAUACUAUGAAACCCUACUUAAUGGUUAAAUAACUUUCAUUCAGCUUUGGACCCUAUUUCGUGAUACGGAAAGACAAACCUUUCUUGGCCGGCAGUGUCCCAGAUCUGGGCUUUGAUGAUCUAGAGGUUGAUGGUGACAGUUCUGGUUUGGAACUCGACGCCAAUGGUUUAUUUCGAUUCAAAGCAAAACUCAUUCUUGGUGAAUCUCGAAAGAAUCUGAGACUUGCCCACGGCCGAGUCACCGAUCACCACUACCUUGAAUACAUAGUCUAUUUUGUCAGGAAUCAUAUUCUCUCGUUGUUGAUGACGAUGAUCGGUGCCAUCACCACUCAUUUCUUCGUUCAUUCAUUCUAUGUCCAUUGAUCUUUUUGAAUUAUUGAAGACAAGUGGCUCACCGCUUUUAGUAUUGGUAAAAUUCAGAUAAUCUCUAUUCCGAAAUAAUAAUAUUAAAAAUAUCUCUUAAAUCAUUAUAAACUUCAAAUCUAUUUUAAUUUUAUUUAAAAGAUAAAAGAAAAAUAAGUUAUGUUGGUGAUUUUUUAUUAUCUUUUUAAUAAAAAUAGAAUAAAUUGAUGUUUAUAAUUAUUUAAAGUAUUUUAAAGAUUGCUAUUUUAUGAGAGAAUAAUAUUUCAUUUUUUUUUUCGUGUGAAAGACCGAAAAAGGACAAAGCAAGUUUCCCUAAUUUUUAUUUUAUGUGAAAUUGGUCAUCUCAUAUACUUUACCCUUCAACACUCUAAUUUUUUUGGUUAUAAUUUUAUUAUUUUUUCUCUUUUACACAUGCAUGUGAAUUACUUUUCUUUAAGCUCCUGAAUAUUUAAGACAAAUCAUGGAAGAGAUGAGAGUAUAACAAGAUGAUCAAAAUAUGUAACAAAAAAAUUUUAGAAGUGAAAAAUAUGUUAGAGUCGAAGUAAAACUCUGAGGUGAUGUUUGAUUUGAAGAAAAUGGAGGAGAGAAAAAGAGUGGAAUGGAGAGGAAAAGAGAGAAAAGGAGAGGAGAGGAGAGGAGAGUGAACUUUUUUUCUAAUGUUUGGUUUGUCACAUAAAUAUACAAAGAAAGGAAAUCUCCAAUUUUUUAUUUAGACAAUUUUAACCUUAAUAAGUAUUAAGCUUUCAAUAUUUAUCAUGUGUAUAAUUUAAAAAAAGUAAAUGGUAGAAAGCGGUUUCUGAUUCCGGCCACAUCGCCGGCAAUGGAAGGUACUUAUCAGAACAUCAAGAACCGGCCAUCAUUCCCUAGCCAUCACUGCUGUAGGAACACUGCUAAAAAGCUGCCGAUUGAACCGCGAAAAGUCGUGGAAAUCGUUGCCUCAAAUCGGUGAGUUUCGCCUUUUUCUGGUCAUGCCGUCGCCUUGGCUUUGUCCAUCAACGCUGCCACUUCCAUUUCAACCAUCCAUAGCCACUAUUAACCGCCAAAUCGCCGCCGAUCAGCGGGAUCUGUGGAAGUUAAAAAGUUUCUAAAAUUUUUUAAUUGGAUUUGAACAACAUACAACCAUUUUUUGAUCUCAAUAACGACAUAGUAAUGUUGAUCGUUGGUCGGCAAGUCGAAUGGUAGUGGCGGUGAGUAACACGCGCCAAUGACAUCGGCGGCGGCGGCGGCACUAUCCGGCUACUGUUAAAAUUAAUAUUUUAUAUUUGUAGAUUAAAUAAAUUUAUUUUAUUAAACUUUUUAAAUCAUUAUUUAAAUUUAAUUAAUUUAAAAUUAUCUAUGAUGUUGAAUUGAUAAAAUAAAUUUAUAAAUAAUAAUUAUGUGAUUACAUUAAAUAAGUUAAAAAGUUGAAGGGUUAUUUUUGGAAGAUUUAGUUUCCAACACAAAGGGAAUUUGAAUUCUUCACUUCUUAGUGUGGAAUUCAAAUUCUAUAUUGUAAUGGAUAUUAAAUUCCAAUAGAAAUUAAAUUCUUAUAAGUUAUGUCAAACCAAACAACGGAAAUAAAAAAAAAGAAUUUAAAUUACUUUCCUUUCCUCCACCCUCUCCUUCCAACCAAAUACAUCCUGAAAAUAGAGAUAUUGAUUAAUUUAGAAGAGAUGCAAGCAAAAGAUAUUCCACAAAAAAAAAAAAGCAAUAUGUCCCUUUGGAGGGCAAACUUGUCAGUUUUAAAAAAGUACAUGCUUUGGAUUGAUAGUUGUAGGAUAUUUGUUUUGUCACUAUGUGUUAGUUGGAGAAGUCAAGCCUUGUGAAGAAUGUUAUGAAAGAGCAAAGGAUAUUCCUGAUAGCUGAUAGAGCUCUAUUUGAUUAUGUAUCCAAUGAAUGGAUGUGUUGUUGGAAGAUAUUUGAGUGCAUUAGUUCAUAUGUGUCUAUCAAUGUGAUUUUAAUGAUUUUUCCACUUGUUUGUUGUAAAAGAUUAUUGUAAAUUGAAAUGAACUUGAUGUUGUAAUAUUUUCUCCUUAGUAGAAUUUCACCUAGUAUGUAUUUAGUUGUGUUGUCUAUAAUUUUGCAUUCGAAUAAGUUUCACCUAAAAUAUUAGCAUGAGUAGUGGCCCUUGAAACUUUGGUCAAAAUUAUUGUUAUUAUUUCCGACUAGAUGUAAAUUUUUUAUUAAAUCUCGCUAACACAAUUCUUAAUUAAAAGUAUAGGUUAGUGUUGGUGCAAGACUUGCCACACCAAAUUCUGCCUAACUGUCAAAAGUGCAAAAUAAAUGAAGAGAAAGCACAAAUACACGACUUGAAUAAGGAUACAACGAAACUUAAAUUCAAGAGAAAAUGAUAGCUAUAUCUCAAGAUUUGAAAAAACGGUCAUGUAGAUUUUUAAGAUUUCAAUAAGCGACUGAGAUUCAAAUAAUAUCCUUUAAUUCUAUUAACAAAAAACAAAGACUCAAAUAUUUUAUGAUAAAUAAAAAUAUAAUAUUAAAAUAUAUGUGAUAAUAUACACAUUUUAAAUACUUUCAAUCCAAAAAAAUAGUUAUGUUUUACAAUCUAUUAGACAUAUUUUAUUAAAUUAAUAUAAAUUUUCUAUAAAAUAAGAAUAUAAUAUUAAAAUAAAUUCACAAAAAUUUAAAGAAUUUUGAAUGUAAAAUAAUUUUAAUAUAUCAAUACGUGAGUUUUUUUAUUAAUAUAAAAUUUAUUUAACUUUAAGAUUUUUUAAAAUCUUUACAAUAAGUAUAACUAUAUUAUUUACAUUUAAAAAUAUUUAAAUAUUAUUAACCUACAAUUAUAUUUGCAUUUGUUAGAAAUUUUUUAAGUCAAAUAUUUUGCACUUCUAUAUUAUUAGAAUUAUUGCACAAAAAGAAAGAAACAUACACCUUUAGAAAUUGUUUUCUUUUAAAAUAGAGAUGAUGAUUAGUAUAAGGAUGAAAAAAAGGAUAAAGAAUAUUAAUGAUUAACGAAAUCUCUAUACAAAUUGAUUUUAGUAGGAAAAGAGUGAGAUGAAUGAUUUCUUUUACAGUUAGAAACAUAGAUGAUGAUUAUUAUAACGAAGAAAAAAAGAUAAAGAAUAUUAAUUAUUAAUGGAAUCUCUAUACAAAUUGAUUUUAGUAGGAAAAAAAUGAUUAAAUGAUUUAGAGUGCGUUUGGAAUUGAGAUUGGGCAGCCAUAGAUUUUAAGUUACAACACUGAAGUGUUUAGUAAAUACUAGUUGCUGCAGAUUGAAAGUUAUGUUGAUAUGAUUUUUCACAUGUAUCAUAGAAAAUAUAUUACAUCUUUAAUAUUUUUUAAAAAUUUAUAUUUGCUAUAUAUUAUUAAUUUUUUUUUAUAGUUAUAACUUUUUUUCCACAACAGUUGUAGCUUAAAAGUCACAGCACCUCAAUCUCAAACAAAUCCUUAGACAUUCAUAGUGUGUUUAUUUUUUGGAUUGGUGAAUCAAAAUUAUUGACAACGCUAACUUCAUCUUCACUGUUCGCAAUCCAACAGCAGCAAUUGUCGCCAAUAAUGAUAUCUCCAAUGAUGAUGACAAUUAUUAUUAUUAUUUUUAUUAUUAUUAUUAUUAUUAUUAUUAUUAUUAUUAAUUAAUUAAUUAAUUAAUUAAUUAAUUAAUUAAUAUAUUAAUGUUGAUAUUAUUAUUAUUAAGAUUAACAAUAAUUAUUAGUAAUACAAUUUUUUGAAUAAAAAUAAUCACAAUAAUUAAAAUACAAAUUAAUAAUUAUGACAAUAAUUAAUUAAUGUCUUUUUAGUAAUUUGUAAUAAUCUAACUCAUUUUGGUUCUGAUUAUUACAGCUUAAGUAAACAAAUUAUUAUGAUUCCUAUUCUCCUUUCCCAUUUUAACUCACUUUGAUUCCAGUCUAUUCCGAUUUCUAUUUAAUAAAUGCACCAUUAGUGCUAAAGUAAUAUUUCAUACAUAGAAAAAUAAAAACUACGCCUAAGGUUAAGGGAAAAGACUUCAAAAUUCUCUUUUGAUCAUAAUACAUUUUGUCCUAAUUAACUUAAAGAUUUUGAAUCUAAUAUUUUAUAAUAAAUAAAAAUAUAUUCCUAAAAUAAAUAUAAUAUCAAUAUUUAAAAUAUGUUUUAAUAUUUUACAAUCUAUCAUACACAUUUUAUUAUAUUAAAGUAGAUUUAUAAUAAAUAUAUAAAAAUUUAGAAUAUUUAGAAUAUUAUAUAAAAUAAUUUUAAUAUAAUGCGUGAUAUAUAUUUUAUUAAUUUAAAAUGUCAUUUUACCUAAAAAAUAUGAUAAAUUAAUAAUUACAUAUUUGAAGUUAUUUCAAAUAUUAAAAAAAUUUAAUAUUAUUAAUCUUUUAGAUAGAUUAAAUUAUUUUUUAUAAGAGAGAUUAAAUUAUUUUAAAAUGCCUUAAUUGUUUUUACUUUUAACGUUACGGGCCUUUCUUUUAUUUUAUUGCAAAUUAAUGCUAACUAGAAAAACAAAAACAAAAGUGACAAACACAACCAGCUGGAAUCUUUUAUAAAACUACAAAUUAAAAUGGAUUUUUUUUUUUUGUUGAUAAAUUACACAUGAAAGUGGAUUCUUUUGAAUAUAAGUGGGGUAGGCUCUUUUAUUUUUUUUUUAAUACCGUAUAACAGGACUGUAGACUCUUUUAUUAAGCACAAAUAUAGAGUUGUCGAGACAAUUAGGGUCUUUUAUUAAACUACAAAUUGUAUAGUCUUUUUUAAAUUGUUCAGAUAUUUAUAAAUUGGUGGCCCCUACAAUCCUCAAUAAUUGUACCGAUAUUCACAAGCUGGUGGCCCCUACAAUCCUUAAUAAUUGUUUUUUUUUUUUUCUGCAUUCCCUUUCAUGCUCUUAAUAAUUAAAGAGCAUACUUUUCAAAUGUGGAGCCGCGGCUAAUGUCGCUAAUUUAAUUUGGGAUUAAAUUAGGGGACUAUUAUAUUGCAGUGUGCACUAAUUUUUAUGUUUAUCUAAACUCCUUAAAUUUAAGAUAUAUUAUGGCAUAAAUAAGAAUAUAACAAUAGCAAAAGAGUUAGAAAGUGUAGAGAAGAUCUUGCAGAAAUAUAAAUAAUAUUUAUUUUAAAAUAAUAUCAAUAUUUAAAAUAAUUUUUAUUAUUUUAUGAUCCAUUAGAUAUAUUUUAUUAUAUUAAAGUAAAUUUUAUAAUAAAUAAAAACAUACUAUUAAAAUGAAUAUAUAGAAAAUUUAGAGUAUUUUAAGUAUUAUAUAAAAUAAUUUUAAUAAAAUAUGUGAGAUAUUCAUAUUUUAUUAAUUUAAAAUACCAUUUAACCUAAAGAUUUAUUUAUGAUAAAUUAAUAAUUAUAUUUUUGAAAUUACUUCAAAUAUUAAAAAAAUUAAUAUUACUAAUCUAUUAGAUAGAUUAAAUUAUAUAUAUUAUUUUCUAUUUAUUAAAAAAUUUCAAAUUAUUUUUAAUUACUAUUCAAAAAAUAUGAUGAUAAAAAAAUCUUAACAUCUUUAUUAAAAAAUUAAAAACUUACAUGAUCAAUUCUCUAAAUAUUUAGGGUAUAUGUGAACCACGGUGGACAGAGGUCAUUACUAAAAUUUCUCUUCCACAGGCAAUUACAGCAGCUCCAGUUUAUCAAACUCAACCAAUUUUCUUUCUUAACAAAAUUCCAAAGAUGUGUAGCUUUUUUCAGAUCACAUGCGAUGGUGCUUUUUUCAAUCGUUGCUUGGAUUGCUUUCUUGGAAAAGCAGCAUACAUACGUAACCUCCAAGAUAAUCUUGAUGCCUUGGACACUGAACUGGGAAGACUAAUCGCAGCAAAGAACGAUGUGAUGAUUAGGGUUGUCAAUGCUGAACGGCAAUAAAUGAGAAGGCUGGACGGAGUGCAAGUGUGGGUUUCGAGUGUGGAUGCUGUUAAAACUGGAGCCGAUGAACUUAUCACAGACGGCUCUGAAGAAAUUGGCAAAUUAUGUGUUGGAGGCUACUGUUCCAAGAACUGCAGGUCAAGCUACAAAUUCGGAAAACAAGUGGCUAGAAAGCUACGAGAUGUGGAGACUUUAAUCGCCGAAGGAGUUUUUGAGGCGGUGGCUACUGAGGUGGUGCCUGAGAGAGCUCCAGAGCCUGUAGCAGAUGAAAGACCUACCGAGCGAAAAGUAGUAGGCUUGCAAUCACAACUUGAACAAGUCUGGACGUGUCUUGUGGAAGAAUCAGCGGGAAUCAUUGGCCUAUACGGUAUGGGCGGUGUUGGUAAAACCACACUAUUGACCCAUAUCAACAAUAAAUUUCUCGAGAGUCCAACCAACUUUGAUUGUGUGAUUUGGGUAGUAGUUUCAAAAGACCUGCGACUUGAAAAACUUCAAGAAGAUAUUGGGAAAAAGAUAGGUUUGGUUGGUGAUUCAUGGAAGAGUAGAAGUGCAGAGGAGAAAGCUCUCGACAUCUUCCGGAGUCUAAGAGGGAAGAGAAUUGUAUUGUUGUUAGAUGAUAUAUGGGAGCGGGUUGAUUUAACAAAAGUGGGCGUUCCACUUCCUGGACCACAAAAUACUACCUCAAAAGUCGUAUUCACAACNNNNNNNNNNNNNNNNNNNNNNNNNNNNNNNNNNNNNNNNNNNNNNNNNNNNNNNNNNNNNNNNNNNNNNNNNNNNNNNNNNNNNNNNNNNNNNNNNNNNNNNNNNNNNNNNNNNNNNNNNNNNNNNNNNNNNNNNNNNNNNNNNNNNNNNNNNNNNNNNNNNNNNNNNNNNNNNNNNNNNNNNNNNNNNNNNNNNNNNNNNNNNNNNNNNNNNNNNNNNNNNNNNNNNNNNNNNNNNNNNNNNNNNNNNNNNNNNNNNNNNNNNNNNNNNNNNNNNNNNNNNNNNNNNNNNNNNNNNNNNNNNNNNNNNNNNNNNNNNNNNNNNNNNNNNNNNNNNNNNNNNNNNNNNNNNNNNNNNNNNNNNNNNNNNNNNNNNNNNNNNNNNNNNNNNNNNNNNNNNNNNNNNNNNNNNNNNNNNNNNNNNNNNNNNNNNNNNNNNNNNNNNNNNNNNNNNNNNNNNNNNNCAGGAAGUCCUAGUGCGUGCUAUCAGAAAAGAUGCUGGGAACUGUUUCGCGAAAAUGUUGGGGAAGAAACUCUUGAGAGUGAUCAUGAGAUCGUUGAGCUAGCCCAAACUGUGGCCAAAGAGUGUGGUGGUUUGCCACUCGCACUUAUUACUAUUGGUCGAGCUAUGGCCUACAGAAAGAAAGCGGAGCAGUGGAGACGUGCAAUUGAAGAGUUAAGAAGAUCAGCUUCAGAGUUUGCAGGUUUGGGAAAAGAGGUGUAUCCUCUUUUAAAGUUUAGCUAUGAUAGUUUGCAGAAUGAUACAAUUAGAUCUUGUUUCUUGUAUUGUUGUUUAUAUUCUGAAGAUUAUGGCAUUCUUAAAUGGGACUUGAUUGAUUGUUGGAUUGGUGAGGGAUUUUUGGGGGAAUCUGACAGGUUUGGUGCAGAAAACCAAGGAUAUGACAUUUUGGACACUCUUGUUCGUGCAUGUUUAUUAGAAGAGGUGGAAGAAGAUGAAGUAAAAAUGCAUGACGUUAUUCGUGAUAUGGCUAUAUGGAUAACCAGUGAAAUUGAGAAGGAGAAGAGAAACUUUUUGGUUUGUGCAGGUGCUGGAUUAGAAGAGGCACCGGAUGUUAAAGAAUGGGAAAAUGUGAGAAGAUUGUCAUUGAUGCAAAACCAAAUUGAAACUCUGUUUGGGGUUCCCACAUGCCCUCAUCUCAUCACUUUAUUUAUUGACUUUAAUAGGGAGUUGAAGACUAUCGCGGAUGGCUUCUUCCGAUGUGUGCCUUCUCUCAAAGUUUUGAAGAUGUCAAACUGUGGAAAGCCUUAGAAAGGUUUGGAAUUACCUUUGGGGAUGUCAAAGUUGGGUUCACUACAACUUCUUGAUAUUUCACACACCUGCAUACAAGAAUUACCACAAGAAUUAAAGUUGUUGGUAAAUCUGAAAUGUUUGAAUUUGAGGCGGACAAUUUGGUUAAAUAAAAUUUCAUGGCAACUAAUAUCAAAAUUUUCAAGGUUACGUGUGUUGAGAAUGUUCGCUACUGGCUGGUUCAGUUUUCAUGAAGCACCAGAAGACAGCGUUUUAUUUGGUGGGGGUGAAGUUUUGAUACAGGAAUUGCUCGGUUUGAAAUAUUUAGAGGUAUUGGAGUUGACCUUGGGAAGUUAUCAUGCUCUCCAAAUUCUUUUGAGCUCAAAUAAGUUAAAAAGUUGUAUUCGAUCUCUUUUCCUACAGUUGUUCAGAGAUACAACGUCGAUUAUUGAUGCUACGGCUUUCGCAGAUCUAAACCACCUCAAUCAAUUAUGUAUUAGUAACGGUUCUGAGUUGGAAGAAUUGAAGAUUGAUUAUACGGAGAUAGUACGAAAAAGGCGGGAACCUUUUGUUUUCCGCAGCCUUCAACGUGUUACCAUAGAGGAGUGCCAUAAAUUGAAAGAUUUGACAUUCCUCGUUUUUGCUCCAAACCUCAAGUCUCUUUCGCUAUACGAUUGCGGUGCUAUGGAAGAAAUAAUCAGCGUCGGAAAAUUUGCUGAGACUCCUGAGAUGAUGGGACAUAUAAGCCCUUUUGAAAAUCUCCAAAUGCUUUAUUUAAUGGCAUUGCCGGAGUUGAAGAGCGUCUACUGGAAGCCAUUGCCUUUCACUCAUCUGAAAGAAAUGGAGGUACUUGGGUGUGAUCAGCUUAAAAAGCUUCCACUCGAUUCCAACAGUGCAAAAGAGCGUAAAUUUGUAAUUCUUGGAGACACACAGUGGUGGAACCGUCUUCAAUGGGAGGAUGAAGCCACUCAAAUUGCUUUUCGUUCCUAUUUCCAAACCUGAUUCCUGAGCGGUGGUCGCAAAAUUUGAUUUCUGGUGAGUGCGUUUGUCUUUUAAAAGAAGAAUUUAAAAGAAAUUUAUUCUUGUCGUUUUCUUCUCUGUUUUUAUUUCAGUUUGUUUCUCUCUCUCUCUUUUUGUCUUCUGCAAAUCACAAUUAAAUGUUGAAUUAAUGGAAUUAAUGCUUCAUAAAUUUGCCGGCACUGCCAGUACUUUUUUUUUUUUUUAAUACGAAUUGAUGCUUUAUUUAUUUCUUCUUAGCGAUUUAAUUUCCUGUCAAAAGACGAGCGAGAAGAACAUAUGACUUAAACCAAUUGAUACUUUAUUUAUGUGCAUUGUAUGUAAUAAAAUUUUCUCUGUUUUUUUCAAAUUGAGGCUUUAUUUAUAUUUUCUUCGUGAAGAGUGAUUUAAUUUCCUGCCAAAAGACAAACGAGAAGAACAUUAGAGUCAAACUAAUGCUCACAUAAAUUUCCCGUAAGAAUAUAUAUAUAAUUAGACUGGAAUGCACACCUCUAGAUUGAACAGAAUUAAAGCUGAGAAAAUAUUGAGUAUAGUAGCCCUCUUUACAGAAAAUGACGCGAAAGUUAAUUUAGAAAGAUAUAUUCUUGAUUAAUCCAUUUUCUGAAGUUUUUUAUUUUGUAUGGUCAAUUAUACCUUCAUACUAAAAAAAAAAAAAAAAAAGAGAAAAUAUGUAAUCCAUGAAUGGUUAAUUUUGUUUGUUUGUUUUUUUUUCUUAAAUAUCAUUCUUUUUCGGCCACCCAAGGACAUUUUCACAAAUACCUUUUGUGUGCAGAAGUCUUCCAAACCAUCAAUGGAAAAAUAAAAAAUAAAAAAAACACGGUCCAGUAUACCUCAAAAUAUCAUUGAUGACUUUUCUGGUCUAAUGCUAUGUAAAUAGUAUGUUAAGUAAAACAUAAUCAGUUCAGUACCUCACAAAUAAUUCGCAAUAUCUACAAAAUACUAUAAUGGCUACAAAACAAAUCCUGCUUGCAAAUUGUCAAGGAUACCUAUCCGUUCGCUUGACAAGUCAUUUGAAUAAAUAUUGUUCACAUUCCUUACUCUGUCAAUUAUCCAAAGCACCAUCAACUUUAGUUUGAAUAGUAUACAUGCCAUCACCGUUACCAAGAAUCAAGCAUGGAAGGGUCAUUCUAUAGAGUGCAGAACAUGACUCUAUGCGGUAGUCAAUUUGACACACGACGAACACCAUAUGCUGCAUAACAUACAAAUUAAUUUCCCAUAUGUGAUGCAAUUUUCUCCUCAACAUAUGCGCAAUUCUUUCCAUUCCGGCAUUUACACUCAAAUUUUCCUUCCUUUCUCUUUGUGGUUGAAUCUUACACCACAACUCAUGUGAUGCAAUCUCCUCUCGCUGCCUAAAUUGCACUCUCAGCAAAGCAGCAUAUGUAAGCAAGCUUGAAGAUAAUCUUGCUGCUCUGCAGAAGAACGGCAAAAGUUAAUCGAAGCAAGGAAUGAUGUAUCAGAAAAUAUUUGGUGGAGAAUUCAGCACAAACAUAUUUCGGAUGAUCAGAAUCAAUAAAACCUGGUGGUUGUGCCAUAUAAACAUCUUUGGAAAGCUGACCUUGAAGAAAGGCGUUAUUGAUAUCCAAUUGAUGAAGAGGCCAGCCAUGACUAACAUCAAUACUAAGAACAAGCCGUACUGUGGUGGACUUAACAACUGGACUGAAAGUGUCAUAAUAGUCCACACCAGGCCAUUGAUUGAACCCUUUGGCAACAAGAUGAGCUUUAAACCUGUCAACAGAACCGUUGGAAUGUCUUUUAAUACAAAAAUCCAUUUGCAGCCAACAAUAUUGGAAGGGAUGGGAGGUGGAACAAGCUUCCAUGUCCCGUUACGAACAAGAGCAUCAUACUCUUCUGACAUAGCUGGACGCCAGUGAAGAUUUUUGAUAGCUUGCGUCACAGUUGUAGGUUCACAAUCAGAAGAAGGGCUAAAAUGAGCACGGAGGUUAAGUUUUUGUAACGGCUUGUGAAUCUUAUUUUUAGCUCGGGUAGUCAUAUCAUGAUGACUUGUGGGGCAAUGAUCUAGUGGAGUUUAGGAAGAUGAUUGAACAGGAAGUGAAGAAGUGCUUUGUGUAGAGGUAGAAGUAGGUUGGGAGGAUUGCUGCGGAGAUGUUACCGGUAGAGAAGAAGGAGCAGUACACGGUGGCAACUCCAGAGGGCCCACAAUAGAUGGAGUAGGUGCCGACAAUGGAGUACUAGGAAAUGAAACAGGAAGAAUUGGUGGAACACUUGCAUAAUUAGGAGUGGUAGAUGAGCUUGUAAUGAUUUGCAUGGAAAAACAAACUCUACAAAUUUAACGUGACGUGAAAUAAAAAUUUGAAAGGUGGAUGGGUCAAAACAUAAAUAAGCACUUUGAGAUAAAGGAAUAUCCUAGAAAAACACAAGGCUUAGAGGGUGGUUCGAGUUUAUGUGAUGAAACACAAACAUUCAAAAAAUUUUAAGUUUAUAUUAAUUAGGAGUGGUACCAAAAAUUAAUUAGCUAUGGGGUUGUUGGAUGUGUUUUGGAUAUUUACAGUUAAGUUUGAGUAUCUCAACUUAAAAUUUGUAGUUUUCACUUGAAAAAAUUCAGUUAAAUUUUGCAAUGCAGACUGAUUGAUUUAUCAGUUUAACGUGUGCCAGGAAUGAAGAACUGGAAUAUCACCGUCAAGCAAGCACCCUGUGGAGCAAUACCAAAGAAUGCACAAUCUGGCUUUGCUAGGUAACACUGGAGGCUUUUUGAAAAGUGCUUCACGCUCACUUGCACAGAUUGAGCAUCCCCUCUGGAUAUUGCCCUCUCUGAUCGAGUCUGAGCACUCAAAUUUUGGUCCUCAGAGGGAGCUACAGUUUUCUCUCCACUAACCAACAAUAUUCUAAACUCAGCACCUAGUGUGAUCAGAGUUGUUGAUAUUUGCAAAUGGAGAUCCCCAUAUUUGCAAAUGGAGACAUUUAACAAAUCACCAACAUGCUUCAUCCGGUCCACGAAAUUCUGCAACUGAUGCAAAUCUGGAACCUGAACCAGAGUCGGAGGUAUAUCUUGAGCCAUAUCUAAAGCAGUUUGAAGUUCAAGACCUUGAGCCCUUGACAAUGGUUUUGAAAUUGGAACAUCUUGGAUUACUGCAGACUUGUACCCCUUGGUUUCAAAGGUAAGGAAAGGCAUUGCUUGAGUACAAUUUGGAGGCAGCUUCUUCACCAAUUUUAUUUGGAGGCGAUUGGCAGCGGAUCCAGCUGCACCAAUUUCAGAGCAACUACUGACACUACUUCGAACAGCACACUGAAGAAGUGAUAUGUCUACGGCGAAGGCAAUGCAGUCCUCAUUUUGGCUUGAGACACAGUAAUCAUCGAAGAGAGUUUCCUUGUGAAACUGGGCAACACAUUGAAUCCCUUCGGCACUGAGAAGGUUGUGGAGGAAGUAAGCUUUCUCUCUAGUAAGGAAGAGGUGGCAUACAUUCCCCAUUUUGUCUAGGGCAGGUAGGAAUCUUUUUUCUAAGAGAUUUACUUCAUUCUCUGUGAGAAAUGCUUUGAACUUCAUCCCUCUGUCUCUAUCCUCACUUAUCAGUAAAAUAGUUGAAAGCGCUACAAGGAGAGAAAAGAAGAGUAUUAAGAUAUAUAUAUUAUAUAGACAAGAAAAACAUUAGAUGUCGAUCUUACAAGCUAAUACUUCAAACAAUAUCCUAGAAAGCUAAAAACUGCAAGAUGGCUUGAAAUUUGAAAAGAGCACGUGCUUUUCCUCCUUAACUUGAGAAAAUGUUUAAUAUAGUGCACCUUACAGAAGCAUUUAAGCAAUUAGAACUUUGCACAAAAACAUCAAGAAGACUAAACAAGUCAGAUGCAGUGUAUUUGUCCAAGCACAAAUUGCAUUUUGUCCUCAACUUUAAUAUUUAUUGAUGAGAAUCAAUACAGGUCCCUCAUUUGUUAUAGAAAGCUUUCUUGUAGUCUCACCAGUUAAUAUGGAUAUUAGAUAAGGAAACUUUAUUAGGUUGCGAGGGUAAAAAAGGAAAGAGAUAUCAUUAUUUUAUUAUCGAUAAUUAUUAAAUUUUUUUCCAAAAAAAAGAACAAGCAAGGAUAUUUUAUUGUCAAUUGCAACCUUUAAUUUUUUUAAAUGCUAUUAGAAACACAAGAUAACAAAAAUGUAGUGAGAUGGGAUCUCCUGCAUGCCACUCUGGUUUAGAACACAAAGAAUGUGUCUGCAUAAAUAUCCUCUGAAAUUGAACAACCCACAAACACAAAGCACCUCCAAGUCGGAGGCAUUGUACAAAACAUCAAAAGCCCUUGAAUCCUUCUCGUUGCCACCAACCUCGAAUUCUUCCUUCACUAUGUAUGUUAUAGGUCCAUCAGAACUAAUAUGUUUUGUGCUAUAGUAAGAGUACAUAGCCUCCACCUCCAUCUGAAACUUCCUUAACAUUUCAUUUGUGUACAGUUUUGAGAGUUGAAAUUCAUAGUAACAUCUUGGUUUCCGGAUACAACUUGAAUUUCUUGAAUCCAUAUCUGCCAAGGCUACCAGUUGAUAAUUCGCCUGCAGUGCUUGAUCAUACUUGUCUAAGAAUUCUUUCAAAGGAGUAUUCUUAUCAAGAUAUCCUUCAAAGUAUGAAGUAGAAACCUCAUUCUGCAGGAACGAAAACACUCCUGAUAAAAAAGCUUCCUUCAAAUAAAUAGGAGCCCACCUUUUAUGAUCUUCAUAUAAAGUUUGAAUCCAUCCGUGAUCCUUUAUUCCAUGACAUUGAAUCAUGUCUUCCCAAGCUGCUUCAAAUUUCUCAGGCCUGAGAGAGUGAUAAAUUGCUCUAUGUAAUGCAGCUUUAAUAGCUUCAUAUUCAAACAAUCCUUGGAGUUUCUCUGGAAUUUUUUUGCAUGAUGCAUGACAAUGAAAAGAAAUGAUAAGCUCUUGGGAAAACAUCACCAACAGCAAUUUGCAAGAUUCUACAUUGGUCAGUGAUGAUUGUUUGUGGAGAGCGCCCUAACAUACAUGUAAGCCACGCCGUAAACAACCAUGUAUAUGAUUCUAUGGUCUCACUGGCAAGUAAACCACAACCCAACAACACUGAUUGUCCAUGAUGAUUCACCCCAAUGAAUGAAACCAGUGGUACAUCAUAUCUUUCAGUCAGGCACGUAGUAUCAAUUAAGACCACAUCACCAAAGUACCUAUAUGCAACUCUUGACCUGGUAUCAGUCCAGAAUAGGUUUUUCAAGCAUCCCUUUUCAUUUAGAUCCACUACAUUAAAAAAGUUUGGAUCUGUCAACUGCAAAUGACAAAAGAAACUCUGGACAGCUUGUGCAUCUCCUGGUUUAAGCUUCAAUUGAUUUGAGCUAUUAACAUUAUUUCCAAAUACUCCAUUAACAUCUACCAUUUCCCUUGGUAUCAAUGAUAAGAGUUCGAAACAGUUUAAUUUUUUGAACUUCUUCAGCACUAUCUAAAUGCAAUGUUCUUUUGGUUCCAAUACCUAUGUGCUUAUGUGACUUGUAAAACUUUCCGCUUCUUGGGCUUAACAAGUGGUUAUGCUCAAGCUCGACUUCAAUGAUUCUCCACCUUUUGGUUUCCAUCAACCUAAACUUUAUCAUUGCUGGACAGCCAGUUCUUGUUUCUGGUCUUGGGCGGUUUGCCUCGCUUUUCUUCUUGAAGCCUGCACUACUACAGCUCAGCUUUCCUCUAUACUUUUCUCUACUCUUUCGGUACCAUGGAUUGCUAACUCUAACACCAAAACCCUGUUCCUUGGCAUAGCAAUUGUAAAAGUAAUAUACAUCAUCAUACAUCUCAAACUCCAUUCCAACAGUAGGAGGCAAGGGAUUUUGGAUUAUCCCAGUUUGUCCAACAUAUUCAGUCAUCGCACAAUCUCCUACAACCUCAAAAUCAUCAGUGUCAUCAUCACCUACUGGUUCGGUGUUGAGAGAAACUUCAUCCAUCUACAAUGGAUGUUCAAUGAAGUGAGCUUUAAGGAGAAAAAGCAAAAUCUGUUCAAGGAAUGAUAAUAUAAUCAUACAGUUACUUUCACAAAGCUUCAUAUUUCAUCACUGCUUUACCAACAUGCAACUGCCAGAGAACAAACAGACAUGUCAUAGACGCUUGAAUUAAGUAUUGGUACAAAUGAGCACACAUCAUGUGGGACAAAAUUUCAGUCACUAAACCCAAUACCACUUUUUACAUCAUACCAAGGAACAGAUUAAACCCGACACCUUCUUUUAAACCAUACCAAGGAACAGAUUAAAUCAUCAAUGAAAAAUUAAUCACAUAAUAACUUAACCAGACAAAUGAAGAGCCUGAAACAGCACAAAACUUGAAUCUGAUUAUGAUAAUUGUUGAGUCCUUGUAUCUACAGCUUUCCUUCAAUGAUAAGACAAUGAACAUAAACGAGACACAAAAAAAUUAUUUUAAACUGACAGCCCAUGAUAUAAAUCAAACAAAAUCAACUCCUUUUUUUACACAUUACAUCUCAUAUUCAUUUACAUUGAAACACAAAAAGGAAGCAGGAGUGGGAAAAAAACAACAGCAGAGGAACUUAUUUCCAUAAGGUUUACGAAAUAAGGAAUCUAUUAAAACCCAAAACUUGAGGUCACCACUAAGAAUUUGGUUCUCAUUAUUUUUUUCUUCAUUUUUCACCAAUUGAUGAACUUAAAAUACAAUCAUAAAUGAUAAAACCCCAUCUCCAUCUUUUUGAACUAGAGCUAAAGCAAAGCAUUUUAAGAUGUUUCAUCAUUUUUUUUUUUAAAAAAAACUCAAUAGUACAAUGUUUUUCAAUGCUAAAUGCACAAUUCAAUCUUCUCCUAAUUUACUCUAAUAAUCUCUUAAUUAAGGAAGAUUAAGCUUCAGUUGUAAGCUAAAACAAAUUUCUUAAAUCAAGCCCCAAUGCUUUAUGCUAUUCAACAAGGGCUCAUAAAUGAUAAAACUACUUCUAUAAAGAUACCCAUUUUCUAAAUUAAUUUCACAAACUGAAAUCAAACUCCUGAAACGUAACGAGCAUUAAUAUAAUCAAGCCCGAACAAGAAUUGAAAAAUGAUACAUAAACUCGUUUACACAUUUCGACAGACACUUUGCAAUCAAUGAGCAAAAAAUUAAUGGAGAAGAUAAAAUUCAAACGAAACAUGCCUUACAUUGAUAAAUUAGAAGGGCAAAAGAAAUUUUAGUACGAUAUGCGAUCAGGGUCUUGCCACGGUGAUGUUAUUUGUGAAGUUCGAGCGACUCAGCAGCCUUCGAGGUUGAAAAUUUGAUUGACCAAAAGCUUCCCGUUCGUUGAUUCUCUAAUAGUAGAAACGAGACUGGCAGUAUACACAAGAAGUUCGCCGAUUUUAAAUUCCGUUGUUUGAGAUGGAAAAUUUUUUGAAAAAAUUAAUGUGUUCGAUGAAAAUCAAAAUCUCAAAAACCUCUUGUUUUUCAUUUUUUUGGAAAAAACCAUUGAGAUCCUUACUAUUUUUUCUUAUAUCAUCUUCCUUAAUAAUUUGCAAAGUCUAUCGCAUAGCACCCAUGUAUGAUGUAUGCUGCGUUGUAAUUUACAAAAUUGCACAUGAAUAAAUCCAGCUAAAAUUUGUUAAAAGAAAAUAAUAAUAACAUGUUAAAACUUUAAAAUUUGAUUAUUCGAAGAAAUUUUAAUUUAGUUAAGUAGGUGACAUGAUAAUAAAUAGAUACGUAUAAUGUCCGAGAUUUUUUAUAAGAUUAAUAAAUAUGAUAAAUUUGGAUUAGUUCAAUUUUGACAUAAUUCAUAAUAAACACAGCUUGCUAAUCUAAAUUGCCACCGUUACUCAUCAUCAGGUACCUGUUUGAAAAAUAAUUACAAACAAUUUUAUUUGUGUUGUUUCUCUAAAAGUUUGAGACACAAAUGUUAUUUCAAAUUGAUAAAAGUACGAAAAUUCCCCCUUGCUCUUCAACUAAAAAUGAAACAUGCAAAUAUACACACUAAUUUAGAUGUGUGAAUAACAAAUAUGGAACGACACAUGCAAAGUCAUCUGUAUAAUUGAAACGCCAUGCACUAGUAGUAGGUAAGAGAAACCAAGGUUGAAGUUGCUCCAAUGGUUACUGUUAAUUUAUUUUUAUUUAUGAUUUUUUUUGUAAAAUGUAAGAAAUAUGUAGAAAUGUUGCCAGCAAUGAUUUUGGAACUUUGCAUAAAAUUUUUAUCAUUAUUGUUUUUGGUAUUAAGAAAUCCGAGGCGGUGAUUAGACGUAUGUUGCAACAAUUAAGAAAUUUCUUAUUGGAGAUAAUUUGGUAGGUUUGCAGCAAUUAGAGAAUAAUUUUCCUGCCAGUUAAUCAAUCAAUAAUAAAUUUCAAAUUGCAGAAAAUAAAAUAAUACAGCCUCACUUAGAAUCAUCUUUUCUAUCUCUUUCAAUUGUGGCAAUCAUUUGCAACAAAUAAAUCAAUUUGAUGCACAUCAUUUCCCCAAUUCAAAGUUCAAGUCACUGCUCAAUUACAGAGUAGUUAGUGGACAUGCAUGCAUGUUUAAUUAAGUACUGCAUUGUAGUAUCGAAAAUCAUAACAUCUCACCAAUAUCAGAUUAUUAACCAUGGAAAUCAUAUCACAAUAUCAUAUAGAAUUCACAAAUCUGAAAAUCAUCACCAAACAAGUACCCAGAGAAAUAAUCUCGUCAUAUCCAGACCUCAACGGACGGGCAAUGACGUACUAUUUGGGUAACGUCACACCCUGGAGCUACACGGAUAAAUAGGAAAAUACCAUCUCAUAUCUCAUCAUAUUUGUGCAUGCAUAAUCUAGUCCCCAAGGGACAAAAGCGCCCAAGCACACGGCCCAAAGCCUCUAUGUGUACUCAGACGGGCCCCAAAGGCCUGUAUCUCAUAUGUAUCAUAUGUAUCAUUUGUAUCUCAAUAUCUGUUUGUAUCUCAUUUCCGUAUAUCUAUAAUCAUCAUACCGCAUGCAUAUGCCCCCAAAAGACAAAAGCGCCCAAACACAUGGCCCAAAGCCUUUAUAUGUGUUUAGACGGGUCCCAAAAGCCUCUUAUCUCAUCUUAUCUGUAUCACUGUAUCUGGAGAGAAGGGUACUGUCUAAUGAUUUAAAAAACAAUCAUUAUACUCAUAUUUACAUACCUCUUAAUCAUAUUUGAAAUCAUAUCACAUUUGAAUCCACUUUUCUAAUCUUUAAAAUAUUAUCAUGCUUUAUUCAAAGUCGAUACGCAAAAUCAAUAACCAAACAUUUUAAAUCAAAUUAUUAACCAUGGAAAUCAUAUCACAAUAUCAUAUAGAAUUCACAAAUCUGAAAAUCAUCACCAAAUAAGUACCCAAAGAAAUAAUCUCGUCAUAUCCGGACCUCAACGGACGGGCAAUGACGUACUAUCUGGGUAACGUCACACCUUGGAGCUACACGGAUAAAUAGAGAAAUACCAUCUCAUAUCUCAUCAUAUCUGUGCAUGCAUAAUCUAGUCCCCAAGGGACAAAAGCGCCCAAGCACACAGCCCAAAGCCUCUAUGUGUACUCAGACGGGCUCCAAAGGCCUGUAUCUCAUAUGUAUCAUAUGUAUCAUUUGUAUCUCAAUAUCUGUCUGUAUCUCAUAUCCGUAUAUCUAUAAUCAUCAUACCGCAUGCAUAUGCCCCCAAAAGACAAAAGCGCCCAAACACAUGGCCCAAAGCCUUUAUAUGUGUUCAGACGGACCCCAAAAGCCUCUCAUCUCAUCUUAUCUGUAUCACUGUAUCUGGAGGGAAGGGUACUGUCUAAUGAUUUAAAAAAUAAUCAUUAUACUCAUAUUUACAUACCUCUUAUCAUAUUUGAAAUCAUAUCACAUUUGAAUCCACUUUUCUAAUCUUUAAAAUAUUAUCAUGCUUUAUUCAAAGUCGAUACGCAAAAUCAAUAACCAAACAUUUUAAUAAAAUACCAAUGCAUAAAUAAAAUUCAUUUCGAGAAAUCAUUAAAUCAGAACAUUUAAAAUACUUAUUUCGCAAACAUGCUUUACUAUCAUCGCUAACUAUGAAAAUAAGUUUUGUAUAUUCCACUUUCAGUGAUGGUGUUCACGGUCGGUUAUCGUCCAUAUCUGCAGACCGAUUCUCGCUCGCGAAUCCUCCUAAAUCAAGGAAACGACAUAAUUAUUUUUUGUAAAUCGGAAUUAUGACUAAAUUUUAUGCAAUAAACUCAAAACGAACAUCUAUUCAUAAUUGACAACUCCUAUAUCCAUAAAAUUACUAAAAUAUCCUUGAGUCCGUAGAUCAUUAACAUGCUCCGAAAUCGUAAAUCACUGAAUUACCCUCGGAAUCGUAAUUACACCCGAUCCUCAAUUAUAGGAAUUACUAACAGAUCCACAGGCUUAGAAAUUACAAAAUUGCCCUCGUAGUGUGAAAUUACCAAAAGCCGGAAGUUGGUCAACAAUGGCUAGGAAGCUCAAAUCGUAAAGUUCCAAUCACGCUGAGUUCAAUGGUACCGGCGGUGAGCUCCAACGCGCGACAACGAUGCCAGAAUCUAGCUCGGCAGCCGUGAAUUCCACCAAUCGACCGGCGGCACAACAGUGACUCUCGGUGCCUAUGGAUGGUCGAAAAUGGAAGAGGGAGCCGUGGGGAACAAAAUCCAACCGGUGGUGUCACCAAAACCGGUGAAAAUCCCGGCGGAGCAAAGUGAAACAGUCGCGGGUUUCAUGCUUCGAUCGCCGGUGUUCCGAUUGGUUUUUGGCGAGGAGGAUGGCAAGGGAACGACAGCCGGCUUCUAAGCUUCAGAUUGGUACCAAGCUCGGCCGAAACGAUGGCCGGAAAUGGGAGAUAUGACCGGGUCAAGGUCGCGGGUUCCGGGUCGGGUUUUUUGGUCUGUAGUUGGGUCGGUUUGGUAGCUUCUCUCUCACUCUCUGUUACACGUGCAUAUGUUUCCUCUGUUUCCAGCUUAUUCUUUUGCUUUUACUAACUUCUUAACCGCCUCAUACUUAUUCAUUUUUAAUUCACAUAUGUUACAAUAAUUCCCGAGUAUUAAAUAACCAGUGGUCAUAAUUUUUGUACAAGAUUCUUUUUUUUUUUUGGAGAUCGUUAAAAGUGGUUGACGAUCCAUUUCGUAAUAUCAUAGAGGGAUCAUCAAUUCCUUUUCUUUUCUGUGGCUAGGCAACACUUUUUGGCCAAAGUAAGGAAAUCUAUUUUAGGUAAUGUAAAAACCAGUUGUAGGAUGUAAUAGUUUAUUAUGCACUGACAAUAACUUUUUGUAUAAUUGUCAGUUUAAUGAAUGCAAGAGGAACUCUGUUGGCAAAUUCAUCCAAGAUAGAUGCUAAAAUUAUUUAUGCAUGCCAGUUGCCUUAACUAAGUUUUCUCAGCACUGGUUUUGAACAGGAAAAUGAAUAUGCAAUUUGUAUAUUGUGCCAUAGUGGAGAAUUUGGAUAUUCUUAUUUAAGUAACAAGGAGAUUAUUUGCCUCAUCUUUAAACAAUGAAUCUUUGAGAGAUGAGGAGUGGGUGAUUGGAUGUGUCUUCAUGUAAUUGUUCAUUUAUUUGUAUUUUGAACUGUUAUGAAAAUCUUUAUAUGCCAAAUUAGUAAUACAAGUAUUCAGAUGAUUUUUCCUAUUGAUCAUGCAUUUGUAUCUGCCCACAACCAUUGUAUAUCACUUUAUUCUGAUGCGCAAGCAUCUGUAAUUUAGAAGAAAAGAAAUAAUAAUCAUAUUUUAUUGCUUGGUUCAUGAUUAUUAACGAUUAUGGCUUUAAAAAUCUACAAAUUUCUUGUGUUCAUGUAUGAAUGUGCCAAGUUUGCUGUAUCUUAGAUUACCUUCUUCCAAGGUAACAAGUUCAUAUAUAUAUAUUUUUUAAAUCAUUUUCCAUUACAGUUGAAUUUCAAGUGUUAGUUUUGUUAUUAGUACCUGGUUUCCUGUUAUAAGGAUCUAAUAAACAGUGUACGGAUAUGUGCUCUACUUUUGGAGGGCUUCCACGUGAAAGAAAAUUACAACAAUUGAAUUCUUCCGGAGGAUAUGGUAAUUAAUUUAUUUUCUCAACUUCUUGUAAGACUAAUAUAUUUCCUUCAGUAGGCACAGCAUGGUGGGAAGGGUUUUUAUUGAAAGAAUUCUGAUAUUUCUUAGACUUUGUUUUGGAAGGGGGUGGAGGAAUUUCUCAUCCAUAUAUGGUUACUUGAUUAGCUUUUGACUGUAUUGUCUCUGUCGUGCAAAGGAAAAUCUAAAUACUAACGAUGGGGAAUUGCUUAGGCACCCAAAAGGCAGAAAUGAAUUACAGAAGGAAGUUUUUGCUGCUUUAUUUAGUGCUGCUGAGAAAUCUGAUGAAUUUCCUGAAAUUACGGUGAAGACCGAGUGGAGGUCCAAAGCAUUAGGAAAGGUGGUGAGUGAACUGCCGGAGGAAUUUGUACCAAAAUACAAGGCUAAUGUGGUGCACUUGCAGCAAGAUAACCAGACCGGUAUGUGCUCUUAUAUUAACUAUAUUGACUGGAUUUGUGAGUGUGUGCAUUUUUUUGUGUAUACUCACUUUUGUAUUUAUGCAUAUUAACAUGUGUAGGAUUCUUGAUUUCUGCCACUUACUGGAGAACUAGUGGAAAGCUUUAUAUUGAUAUAUCUGCAAUAACUAAUGGAAACUAUGAUAUGAAUAUUUUCUCUCACCUGGGGAGCUGUGUAACAGAUAUACUUUGUGGCUCUGGAAUGCUGAAGAUUCUGCAAUAACUAAUGGAAAAUAUGAUAUGAAUAUUUUGUCUCACCUGGAGAACUUUGUUACAGAUACCCUUUGUGGCUCUGGAAUGUCUAAAGAAUGCUUUAGUUAGAUCAAAUAUCUUUUAGUUAGAAAAGAUAAAAUUCUCUGAGUCUGAAAGACUGAAACAUUUUGCAUAUUUUGUGAAAGGGAAAUAUCUGUUGAUACUAGCUCAUGCAUUGAGGUAAUAUCGAUGUUAAAGAAAAACAGCAAUGAUUUAUGAUAUAGAAUUGGGUUCACUUGCUUCAAAUGCUGGUCUGAUCAACCAUAUCAACCUGUAAUGAUUCUGCAGAAAUAUAUAUACAUGGAGAAAGUAGCUAAAUUUUUCUUUCAUUUAUGGGUUCGGUCUUUUUUCCCCUUAUUUUUCAGCUUUCCUUCUCCUGAAGUAUGUUAACAAUUGCAGAUAAUGAUGAAGACGACAGCUUCCGGGCUCUCCUUAGAGCCGUGAUGGAAUAUAGGGGCACAAUGAAGGAAUAUUGUAAAGCUGUAGGUACUUUUUCUCCUUUCAUUUAUGUUUUCUCACACAUUUUGUAUAUGCCCUGAACAUGCACCUUUGUAUGUAUCAAUUGACUUUUAAAUUUUAAAAGCCAUAAAGUAAGAAUACGGUUCCUUGUCAGGCUACUGAUGACAUUCGCUCAGGGGGAUCAUGUUCGAGCAGGAAAAUUUCUAGAACAGGUAAGGUUUCCAUCUACAGCCAUCCAUUGACAGCAGAUACAUUUUCAUUCAGCAGACUCUGUUAGCAUUCAAGAUGCUGGCAGAUUCACUUGAUUCUUAUUAGCUUGUUUAGUGGCAAAGCCUAUAACCUGUAUUUCAAAGCCAAGUUGUGCUAUUGAUUAUGUUAACUUUUUUGUUAACAUAAAAUGAUAUGGAGGAAAUAAUCAGUGUUGGAAAAUUAGGUGAAAAGAUGAUGUCAAAUCUUGAACCUCUUACGAAACUCUAAGUUCUUUACUUGAAGAGGCUACGAAAUUUGAACAGCGUCUACUCGAAGGCCUUGCCAUUCCCUGAUGCAUGCAGAAUUUUUGUAUUUAAAUGCCCAGAGCUUAAGAAGCUGCCACUGGAUCUUGAAGGGGCAGACCAAGGUAAAAAUCUUAUCAAGGGAAAGGAAGAUUGGUGGAAACAACUUAAUGGGAGGAUCAAGUAACUCAGAAUGCAUUGCUUCCAUUUUUUAAAUUGACUGACAAGUGAUUGAACGGGGCAUCAUCAACAUCAUCAACAGGGAUGGAGAGAUACCGGAGCAGAUCAGCAGGGUUUGAAUAUGACCUUUGGCGGUUGCUUUUUUUUUGUGAUUUUUUUUUCAUUUUUUCCUUCCUGUCAUUUUAUCAUUUCUUUCUCUGUUUCUAUUGCGGGUGUUACUGCAUGCUUACUGUUGCUUGACAAAGUUUGCUAGCUUUUUGUUUGCAGUGUUGCUAUACACUCCGAGUCAAGCCUCGAAAAUUUAUUAAACGAAGCCGUUUCGACAGUAACAAUUCUUUUCUUUUCCCUUUGCAUGUCUCUUUCAUCUGCUGUUUCUCUAUCACUUUUCAUUUUUGAUUUCCUUGCUUCUCAGCUGCCCCUAAAUUGUUAUUCUAGCAAUAUACUUUCUCAUCUUUGAAUUUUCAUCCUUGAGUACUCCCACAGCCGUAAUUUCAUCAUCAUAGACUUCACUUGGAAUGCUGUAUUUUUUCGAUUCUUGAGCUACUUCAAUUACAUCUUAGUAUAGGAUCCUCAUCUUCCUUUAUUUCUUCAUCUUAUGAGGUAAUAAAUGGAUUUCACAACUCAUCUACUUUUAAGCAAUUACAUAUUAUACCUUGAAUGAUUCAACUGUUCUGACAGUUAAAGAUUUUAUGCUCAACCUGCAGUGCUACGAACAUUGUCCAUGAAAGAUGAGUUUCAGCAUAUAAAAUGAAAUAUAGAUGUUUAAUCUAAAAUAACCCUUCACUGCCAGAAACCUAGGUCACAAAAUUCACAGAUAAUGAUAAAGAGCUAAAAAAUUUGAAAAACUCUACAGAUCACACAUCAAGCAAGAUAUCAUGUUUUUUUCCCUCAUUCAGUGGUGAUUGAUUCGCUUUUUGAUGAUGGAUAUGGUAUAAAAGUGUUGACCCAAUUUCAAGCAAACACAAAUAGAAACACAAACACAAUCGGGACUAGAGUUGUGGGCGAUUAUCUUAGGUGUACAAGUGAAACGGUGGUGGCUGUCGAUGGUGGUAGUGGGGUGGUUGGGUAUGCGUGAUGGCUAGAUUUUAGGACAAUAAUGAUUGGAGUUGACCUCAAUCAACGAAGGAAAGUGACAACAAUUUUGACAUCAAACGGUGCAUUUUUUAGCUUAGUAAAAUGGAGCCGUUUCGAUUUUGGGGUUUAAUCCGGGGUUUGACUCGGUGCAAGUAUCAUUUUCCUUUUGUUUAUUAAAUUUUUUUAUGGUCACAAAGUAUCACUCGUUCUAUUUGAGAGUCAUGUGAAUCAAUUUUUCAAAUUUUCAAUUUUAAAUUUUGUGGUCAAUGUGAAUUCAAUUUCAUUUGUCUCCUGCAAUUAUGAAAAAAUUAAAUAGUCAUAAUAUGGAAAAAUACACCGGUAAAAACUUUGUAAAAGCUUCGGAGUGAUACGGGGAAUUCACUUACUACUAAGGACAAUUGGUGGCAAGCUAUUCCAUUCAUUUUAUGUCCAUCCAUCUAUUUAGUUAUUGAAGAUAAGUGGUCCAUUUGUAAAUUUCAGAUUGUCUCUCUCUCCCUCUUGAAAUAACAAUAUUUAAUAUAUCUCAUAAAUUAUUAUAAAUUUUAAUUUACUCUCGAUUUAAAAUGGAGCAUGUCGAUAAAUUUUUUUUCUUCUUAAUAAAAUUGACGUAAGUUGUGUUUACAGUAGUUUGAAGUUUGAAAUAUUUUAAAGAUUAUUAUUCUAUAAGGGAGUAAUAUGAAAUGAUAUUUACUUUUCAUGUGUGAAAUGAAAAAGGACGAAGCAAGUGUCCCUGCUUUUAUUUUAUUUCAAGGAGGAGUCAUCUCACAUACUUUAGCUCUUAACAUUACAUUUUUUCUGGUUACAUUUUUUAUUUAUUUAUUUUUUUUUUUUUACACAUGCGUGUGGGUUGCUUUUCUGUAAGCUCCUUAAUAUAUAUUUAAGACAAAUCAUGGAAGAGAUGGGAUUAUAUCAAGAUGAUCAAAGAAUGUUAAAAAAGAAAAAAGAAAAAAAAAAGAAGUAAGACACUGAAAAUGGAGAAGAGAUGGAAGCAAAAGAUAUUCCAAAACAAAGCAAUCUAUCCCCUUUCGAGGGCAGACUUAUCAGGUUUAAAAAAGUACACGCUUUGGAUUGGUAGUUGCAAUCAAGGGAAAAUAAAUAGGAUCCAAUGAAAUUUAAAUCUCGGAGAAAAUAAAUAAUCAUGCAGAUUUUCAAGAUUUUAAUAAGGGAUACUAAUAUCUUAUUUUGAUUAAUAAUAUCCUUUCAUUGUGUUAACUCAAAAAAUAUAUAUUUUAAUGUUUUGCAAUAAACAGAAACGUACUAUUAAAAUGAAUAUAUAAAGAAUUUAGAAAAUUUUGAAUGUUAUAUAAAAUAAUUUUAAGAUAAUGCGUGAGAUAUAUUUUAUUAAUUUAAAAUGUUAUUUUACCUAAAAAAUAUGAUAAAUUAAUAAUUACAUAUUUGAAGUUAUUUUAAAUAUUAAAAAAAUUUAAUAUUAUUAAUCUUUUAGAUAGAUUAAAUUAUUUUUUAUAAGAGAUAGAUUAAAUUAUUUUAAAAUACGUUAAUUGUUUUUACUUUUAACGUUACCGGCCUUUCUUUUAUUUUAUUGCAAAUUAAUGCUAACAAGAAAAAGCUAGAUCAUAUUCCACAAAAGCAAAAGUGACAAACACAACCAGCUGGAAUCUUUUAAUUACUAUUCAAUAAUUCGAGACGAUUAGGGUCUUUUAUUAAACUACAAAUUGUAUAGUCUUUUUAAAAUUGUUAUAAAUUGGUGGCACCUACAAUCCUCAAUAAUUGUACCGAUAUUCACAAGUUGGUGGCCCCUACAAUUCUGUUCGGAUAAUUUAACUGUGCAAGUGCUCAUUCACAAUAAUUGUUUUGUUUUUUUUUUCUGCAUUCCCUUUCAUGCUCUUAAUAAUUGAAGAGCAUACUUUUCAUUUUCAAAUGUGGAGCCGCAGCUAAUGUCGCUAAUUUAAUUUGGGAUUAAAUUAGGGGACCAUUAUAUUGCAGUGUGCACUAAUUUUUGUGUUUAUCUAAACUCCUUAAAUUUAAGACAUAUUAUGGCAUAAAUAAGAAUAUAACAAUAGCAAAAGAGUUAAAAAGUGUAGAGAAGAUCUUGCAGAAAUAUAAAUAAUAUCUAUUUUAAAAUAAUAUCAAUAUUUAAAAUAAUUUUUAAUAUUUUAUGAUUCAUUAGAUAUAUUUUAUUAUAUUAAAGUAAAUUUUAUAAUAAAUAAAAACAUACUAUUAAAAUGAAUAUAUAGAAAAUUUAGAGUAUUUUAAGUAUUAUAUAAAAUAAUUUUAAUAAAAUAUGUGAGAUAUUCAUAUUUUAUUAAUUUAAAAUACCAUUUAACCUAAAGAUUUAUUUAUGAUAAAUUAAUAAUUAUAUUUUUGAAGUUACUUCAAAUAUUAAAAAUAUUAAUAUUACUAAUCUAUUAGAUAGAUUAAAUUAUAUAUAUUAUUUUCUAUUUAUUAAAAAAUUUAAAAUUAUUUUUAAUUACUAUUCAAAAAAUAUAAUGAUAAAAAAGAAUCUUAACAUCUUUAUUAAAAAUUUAAAAAUUUACAUGAUCAAUUCUCUAAAUAUUUAGGGUUAUAUGUGAACAACGGUGGAGAAGCUUUAUUUAAUAUUAUUGAUUUAAAUAAUAUGUCAAUUAAAAAUGUACAGAGAAGGAAAUUUCGGUGGGUAUUUUAGUCUUUUCAGCAAUUAUCAUGAUCAGAUCAGCCUUUAGCCUUGAAUCGUCGGUCAGAAAAGUUUUAAAAUUAACGCUAACAAGAAAAAGCUAGGUCAUAUUCCACAAAAGCAAAACUGACAAAACAACCAGCUGGUUUCUUUUACUAAACUACAAAUUAAAAGUGGAUUCUUUUGAAUGCAAGUGGGACAGACGAUUAGGCUCUUUUUAUUAAAGGCAAGUAAAAACUAGUCGAAUAGUCUUUUUCAAAUUGUUGUUUUAUUAUUUUUCCUUCAAAAGUUAGUGUGGCUCAUGUUUGCAGGUGCGAAUGUGGGUCCCGAAUCAUUACUAAAAUUUCUAUUCCACAGCCCACCGCAGCUUCAGUUAAUCAAACUCAAAUCAAUUUUCUUUCUUAACAAAAUAUUCCAAAGAUGUGUAGCAUUUUUCAGAUCACAUGCGAUGGUGCUCUUUUCAAUCGUUGCUUGGAUUGCUUUCUUGGAAAAGCAGCAUACAUACGUAACCUCCAAGAUAAUGUUGAUACCUUGGGCACUGAAUUGGGAAAUCUGAUCGCUAGAAAGAACGAUCUGAUGAGGAGGGUUGUCGAUGCUGAACGGCAACAAAUGAGAAGGCUGGACGGAGUGCAAGUGUGGGUUUCGAGGGUGGAUUCUGUUAAAACUGAAGCUGAUCAAUUUAUAAGAGACGGCUCUCGAGAAAUUGAAAAAUUAUGUGUUGGAGGCUACUGUUCCAAGAAUUGCAUGUCAAGCUACAAGUUCGGGAAAAAAGUGGCUAAAAAGCUACGGGAUGUGCGGACUUUAAUCAGUGAAGGAGUUUUUGAGGUGGUGGCUGACAGAGCUCCAGAGUCUGUAGCAGAUGAAAGACCUACUGAGCGAACAGUAGUAGGCUUGCAAUCACAACUUGAACAAGUCUGGAGAUGUCUUGUAGAAGAAUCAGCGGGAAUCAUUGGCCUAUAUGGUAUGGGCGGUGUUGGUAAAACUACACUACUGACCCAUAUCAACAAUAAAUUUCUCGAGAGUCCAACCAACUUUGAUUGUGCGAUUUGGGUUGUAGUUUCAAAAGACCUGCGACUCGAAAAAAUUCAAGAAGAUAUUGGGAAAAAGAUAGGUUUGGUUGGUGAUUCAUGGAAGAGUAAAAGUGUAGAGGAGAAAGCUGUCGACAUCUUCCGGAGUUUAAGAGAGAAGAGAUUUGUAUUGUUGUUAGAUGAUAUAUGGGAGCGGGUUGAUUUAACAAAGGUGGGCAUUCCACUUCCCGGACCAAAAAAUACUACCUCAAAAGUCGUAUUCACAACCCGUUUCAUCGAUGUUUGUGGUAGCAUGGAAGUUGACAGGAAGUUUCAAGUAGCAUGCUUAUCAGAAAAGGAUGCUUGGGAACUGUUUCGAGAAAAAGUUGGGGAGGAAACUCUUCAGAGUCAUCAUGAUAUCGAUGAGCUAGCCCAAAUUGUGGUCAAAGAGUGUGGUGGUUUGCCACUCGCACUUAUUACUAUUGGUCGAGCUAUGGCCUACAGAAAGAAAGCGGAGCAGUGGAGACGUGCAAUUGAAGAGUUAAGGAGAUCAGCUUCAGAGUUUGCAGGUUUGGGAAAAGAGGUUUAUCCUCUUUUAAAAUUCAGCUAUGAUAGUUUGCAGAAUGAUACGGUUAGAUCUUGUUUCUUGUACUGUUGUUUAUAUCCUGAAGAUUAUGGCAUUCUUAAAUGGGACUUGAUUGAUUGUUGGUUUGGCGAGGGAUUUUUUGGGGAAUCUGACAGGUCUGGUGCAGAAAACCAAGGAUAUGACAUUUUGGACACUCUUGUUCGUGCGUGUUUAUUAGAAGAGGUGGAAGAUGAUGAAGUAAAAAUGCAUGACGUUAUUCGUGAUAUGGCUAUAUGGAUAACUUGUGAAAUUGAGAAGGAGAAGAGAAACUUUUUGGUUCGUGCAGGUGCUGGAUUAAAAGAUGCACCGGGUGUUAAAGGAUGGGAAAAUGUGAGAAGAUUGUCAUUGAUGCAAAACCAAAUUGAAACUCUGGCAGAGGUUCCCACAUGCCCUCAUCUCCAUACUCUAUUUCUUGACUUUAAUAGGGGGUUGGAUAUGAUCGCGGAUGGCUUCUUUCAAUUUAUGCCUUCUCUCAAAGUUUUGAAGAUGUCAAACUGUUCGAAUUUGAAAUUACCUGUUGGGAUGUCAGAGUUGGGUUCAUCACUAGAACUUCUUGAUAUUUCAGAAAACAGCACAAGAGAGUUACCGGAAGAGUUAAAGAAGUUGGUAAAUCUGAAAUGUUUGAAUUUGAGGUGGACAGAGCAUUUAAAUAAAAUUCCACGGCAACUAAUAUCAAAUUCUUCAAGGUUACGUGUGUUGAGAAUGUUCGCUACUGGCCGGUUCAAUUUUCAUGAAGCACCAGAAGACAGCGUUUUAUUUGGUGGGGGUGAAGUUUUGAUACAGGAAUUGCUCGGUUUGAAAUAUUUAGAGGUAUUGGAGUUGACCUUGGGAAGUUAUCAUGCUCUCCAAAUUCUUUUGAGCUCAAAUAAGUUAAAAAGUUGUAUUCGAUCUCUUUACCUCGAGUUGACCGGAGAUACAACGUCAAUUAUUGAUGCUACGGCUUUCGCAGAUCUAAACCACCUCAAUGAAUUACGGAUUGAUAAUGGUAUUGAGUUGGAAGAGUUGAAGAUUGAUUAUACGGAGAUAGUACGAAAAAGGCGGGAACCUUUUGUUUUCCGCAGCCUUCAACGUGUUACCAUAGCGGAGUGCCAUAAAUUGAAAGAUGUGACAUUCCUCGUUUUUGCUCCAAACCUCAAGUCUCUUCGGCUAUUCUAUUGCGGUGCUAUGGAAGAAAUAAUCAGCGUCGGAAAAUUUGCUGAGACUCCUGAGAUGAUGGGACAUAUAAGCCCUUUUGAAAAUCUCCAAAUGCUUGAUUUACAAGGUUUGCCACAUUUGAAGAGCAUCUUCUGGAAGCCAUUGCCUUUCACUCAUCUGAAAGAAAUGGAGGUACUUAGGUGCGAUCGGCUUGAAAAGCUUCCACUCGAUUCCAACAGUGCAAAGGAGCGCAAAUUUGUUAUUCGUGGAGAAGAAGACUGGUGGAACCGACUUCAAUGGGAGGAUGAAGCCACUCAAAUUGCUUUUCGUUCCUGUUUUAAAAGUGAUGCUUUAUUUAUAUCUUAUUCGUGAAAAGUGAUUUAAUUUCCUGCCAAAAGACGAACGAGAAGAACAAUAGAGUCAAACUAAUGCUCACAUAAAUUUCCCGUAAGAAUAUAUAAUUAGAUUGGAAUGCACACCUCUAGAUUGAACAGAAUUAAAGCUGAGAAAAUAUUGAGUAUAGUAGCCCUCUUUACAGAAAAUGACGUGAAAGUUAAUUUAGAAAGAUAUAUUCUUGAUUAAUCCAUUUUCUGAAGUUUUUAUUUUGUAUGGUCAAUUAUACCUUCAUACUAAAAAUUUCUGAAGUUAUAAAUUAGUGCAACUUGACAAUUUUUACUGAUGAUAUCUUCUAUUUUUCCCUUUUUUUUUUUUUCACUUUCAUAGACUGGCAGCGGAUCCUGCGGCACCAAUUUGAGAGAAUAUACUGACACUACUUCGAACAGCAAGCAGAAGAAGUAAUAUGUCUACGGCAAAGGCAAUGGAGUCCUCAUUUUGGCUCGAGAUGCAGUAAUCAUCGAAGAGAGUUUCCUUGUGAAACUGGGCAACACAUUGAAUCCCUUCACCACUGAGAAGGUUGUGGAGGAAGUAAGCUUUCUCUCCAGUGAGGAAGAGGUGGCAUAUACCUUCCCCAUUUUGUUGAGGGCAGGUAGGAAUCUUUUUUCUAAGAGAUUUACUUCGUUCUCUGUAAGAAAUGCUUUGAACUUCAUCCCUCUGUCUCUAUCCUCACUUAUCAGGAAAUAAGUUGAAAGCACUAUGAAGAGAGAGAGAGAGAGAGAGAGAGAGAGAGAGAGAGAGAAUUAAGAUAUAUAGACAAGAAAAAUAUUUGACGUUGAUCUUACAAACUAAUACUUCAAGCAGUAUCCUAGAAAGCUAAAAACUGCAAGAUGGCUUGAAAUUUGAAAAGAGCACAUGCUUUUCCUCCUUAACUUGAGAAAAUGUUUAAUAUAGUGCACCUUACAGAAGCAUUUAAGCAAUUAGAACUUUGCACAAAAACAUCAAGAAGACUAAACAAGUCAGAUGCAGUGUAUUUGUCCAAGCACAAAUUGCAUUUUUUCCUCAACUUUAAUAUUUAUUGAUGAGAAUCAAUACAGGUCCCUCAUUUGUUAUAGAAAGCUUUCUUUCUUGUAGUCUCACCAGUUAAUUCAGAGGUCUAUAAUCAUCUUGCAAAGUUAAGGGCAUUUCUUUUGAUCUAAAGUCUUUGCAUCACCACCUCAUCACACGCCAAGCCAAUAUUCCAUUUACCUCUACAACAAAAAGUUUUAAUUAAACAAUCCUAAUGCACGCAGCCAAAUAAAAUGCAGUAAGAAUAUUCAACUUAAAAAUCUGAAAGCCAACUUGGUGAAUUGCCUCCUUAGGUGAAGUUCCAUGCUUUACUAUAGUUGACAGAACUCAGCAAAAGCUUCCAUACAACAGAUUUUGAAAAUGAUGAUGCCAACAGAUACUCAUUCAAUGCAUUGAAACUCCAAAGGUUCAUUGUUCAUAGAAGUUUACAGAGUUUUGGUCAUCAAAUAGCUCAGACCUAAUCCCAAACAAAAAAUGAGUGAAAAUUAGAUCACGAGCAGCUAAUUGUAAAUUCUAACUUAACUCUUCAUCUCCUUUGUAAACAAGAAACAAAAUGGAGACACGCAAAAUGAAUAUGGAGAAAAUUUGAACUCAAAUGAAAUGAGGGCAUGAAAGCAAACAAAUGGCAUGCACCAAAAAACCAAGCCUCAAUCAAAAACUAAUUAACCAUUAAGAAAAAAAUUGGUCAGAGAAUGAACUCCAAAUUCAGGAGUCAAGCAAGAAGCUUUCAUUAUUAUCAAAGUCAAUUAUCUUUGUUAGUAUGCGAGUGUGACGACUAUAGGUUGUUCUUUUUCUAAUGUCAUAUGAUUCCAAUUUUAGGUACAGGGCAUCUCUCUCUCUCUCUCUCAUCGCUAAGUGGAUAUUUUUCUCUUUUGUCAUAUACUUUAGUUAUUCUUCAAUUUACUAACUAAAAUGAAGGCCGCUUUAUUAAGAAGUUAUAUCCAGUUAUAUAAUUUGUUGUAUUUAAUAUAUGUUUGGGCUCAUAAUUUUUUUUAAAAAUAUAUAUUUCAUUCUCCAUAAUUUUUUCCCAUCAUAGCUACGAAACGUCUUAGUUUCGACUAAAAUCCUAAAAUUGGUCCUUAAUUGAAUAUGCAUUGCAAUUUGCAAAUGUAAUAUUGUGAAUGGGACACUGGAGAUACCAAAAUGGUCAAAUGCGAAAUAAGUUAGGAUUGUACGAUGUAGUUUGUAUUCAUAUUCAAUGCCUUUUUUUUCAAAAAACAAAUUGAAAUGCCAUUACUAAACGAUUCUUGAUGAUGGGAGCCACCGUGCCAGCUUUGUCGCUGAUUUGGUAUUAUUCUUAACUUGCAGAUAGUUGUGGAUAUGAUAUGCAAAAAGGUAAGGACUAUAUCUUCUUGAUGGAGGCCUCUGAUUUUUUCCCUUCUAUGUAAUUUAGUAAAUCGCAUUUUCCCUUGUGAUUGAUAUAUCAUACCAAAGUCAAGUCUUAAAUACUGCUGUCAUAUGUUAAGGUUCAACUUCCAUUUUGAUUAACGUCCAUUUGCUGCUGCUUCCAAAAGUGAGAAUGAGAUACUUUGGUUAAUUUCAGUAGUUGAACCCAAUAGAGUACUUUAUUUAGAUCUUCAUGGUUCAAAGGCCUGAAAAAACUUGCCGGUAUUUGCAAAAUGACAUUCUGUGCUUUUAUUUAGGCUUAUUAUUUAAGUGAUAAAAACUCCCGUAACCUGCUGUCAAGAAAAUUUCAGAUUGUUAAAAGACAACAUUUUGUUUCAGCCAAAAAUGUUUGUUUCGAUUAAAGACUUGAACCAUUUUCAUUUAACCUUGAUUGUGAUGCUUUACAUUAUGCAUGUUCCUCUCAAUCAAUAAAAGUUGAGGUCAUGAUUUUAUAUUUCUAUUUUGUAACUUGAAAUAAUUGGUCUGCCUGUUUCUGUAGCUUGAUAACAUGAAUUUUUCCUUCUGAAGUUAAUUUGAUCAAUAAAGUAAUUCUUCGGAGAUGAUAUGCCCAUUCUAUAGUCAUUUUCUUAGGUAACAUGUUUUUUCUUCACUCUUCAGAGCAUGUCUAAACUAAUUGAUCGCUCAGCGGAGACUUUGGGUGAGAAGACAAAAUUUCUUGGUAAAUCCUCUAAAAAGGUAUGCAUAAUUCCCGAGUAUUAAAUAAUCAUUGGUCAUAAUUUUUGUACACAACUCUUUUUUUGGAGAUCGUUAAAAGUGGUUGAUGAUCUAUUUUGUAAUAUCAUAGAGGGAUCAUGAAUUCCUGUUCUUUUCUGUGGCUAGGCAACACUUUCGGGCCAAGCUAAGGAAAUCUAUUUUAGGUAAUGUGAAAACCAGUUGUAGGAUGUAAUAGUUUAUUAUGCCCUGACAAUAACUUUUUGUAUAAUUGUCAGUUUAAUGAAUACAAGAGGAACUCUGUUGGCAAAUUCAUCCAUGAUAGAUGCUAAAAGUAUUUAUGCAUACCAGUUGCCUUAACUAAUUUUUCUCAACACUGGUAUUGAACAGGAAAAUGAAUAUGCAAUUUGUAUAUUGUGCCAUUGUGGAGAAUUUGGAUAUUCUUAUUUAAGUAACAAGGAGAGUAUUUGCCUCAUCUUUAAACAAUGAAUCUUUGAGAAAUGAGGAGUGGGUGAUUGGCAGUGUCUUCAUGUAAAUGUUCAUUUAUUUGUAUUUUGAACUAUUAUGAGAAUCUUUGUAUGCCAAAUUAGUAAUACAAAUGUUCAGAUGAUUUUUCCUGUUGAUCAUGCGUGUGUAUCUGCACACAACCAUUGUGUCCCACUUUAUUCUGAUGCACAAAUAUCUGUAGUUUAGAAGAAAAGAAAUAAUAAUCAUAUAUUAUUGCUUGGUUCAUGAUUAUUAAACGAUUAUGGCUUUAGAAAAUCCACAAAUCCUUUGUGUUCAUAUAUGAAUGUGCGAAGUUUGCUAUCUCUUAGAUUACCUUCUUCCAAGAUAACAAGUUCAUAUAUUUUUUUUAAUCCUUUUUCAUCACAGUUGAAUUUCAAGUGUAAGUUUUGUUAUUAAUAGCUGGUUUCCUGUUAUUAUGAUUUCAUAAACAGUGAGAGGAUAUGUGCUCUACUUUUGGAGGGCCUCCACAUGAAAGAAAAUUGCAACAAUUGAAUUCUUCCGGAGGGUAUGGUAUUUAAUUUAUUUUCUCAGCUUGUUGUAAGACUAAUAUAUUUCCUUCAGUACCCAAAAGGACAGAAAUGAAUUACGGAAGGAAGUUUUUGCUGCUUUAUUUAGUGCUGCUGAGAAAUCUGAUGGAUUUCCUGAAAUUACGGUGAAGACGGAGUGGAGGUCCAACGCAUUAGGAAAGGUGGUGAGUGAACCGCCGGAGGAAUUAGUACCAGAAUACAAGGCUAAUGUGGUGCACUUGCAGCAAGAUGACCAGACCUGUAUGUGCUCUUAUAUUAACUAUAUUGGUUGGAUUUGUGAGUGUGUACAUUUUUGUGUGUAUACUCACAUUUGUAUUUAUGCAUAUUAACGUGUGUAGGAUUCUUGAUUUCUGCCACUUACUGGAGAACUAGUGGAAAGCUUUAUACUGAUAUAUGUGCUAUAACUAAUGGAAACUACAAUAUGAAUAUUUUCUCUCACCUGGAGAACUGUGUAACAGAUAUAAUUUGUGGCUCUGGAAUACUGAAGAUUCUGCAAUAACUAAUGGAAAAUAUGAUAUGAAUAUUUUUUCUCACCUGGAGAACUUUGUAACAGAUACAUUUUGUGGCUCUGGAAUGUCUAAAGAAUGCUUCAGUUUAGAUCAAAUAUCUUUUAGUUAGAAAAGAUAAAAUUCUCUGAAUCUGAAAGACUGAAACAUUUUGCAUAUUUUGUGAAAGGGAAGUAUCUGUAGAUACUAGCUCAUGCAUUGAGGUAAUAUCAAUGUUAAAGAAAAACAGCAAUAAUUUAUUAUACAGAAUUAGGUUCACUUGCUUUAAAUGCUGGUCUGAUCAACCAUAACAACCUGUAAUGGUCCUGCAGAAAUAUAUAUACGGGGAGAAACUAGCUAAAUUUUCCUUUCACUUAUGGGUUUGGUCUUUUUUUCCCCUAUUUUUCAGCUUUCCUUCUCCUGAAGUAUGUUAACAAUUGCAGAUAAUGACGAAGAGGACCGCUUCCAGGCUCUUUGUAGAGCUGUGAUGGAAUAUAGGGGCACAAUGAAAGAAUAUUGUAAGGUUGUAUGUACUUUCUCUCUUGUCAUUUAUGUUUUCUCACACAUUUUGUUUAUGCCCUGAACAUGCAGCUUUGUAUGUGUCAAUUGCCUUUUACGUUUUAAAAGCCAUAAAGUAAGAAUACAGUUCCUUGUCAGGCUAUUGAUGCGUUCGCUCAGAAGGGUCAUGUUCAAGCAGGAAAACUUCUAGAACAGGUAAGGUUUCCAUCUACAGCCAUCCAUUGACAGCAGAUAUAUUUUCAUUAAGCAGACACUGUUAGCAUUCAAGAUGCUGGCAGAUUCACUUGAUUCUUAUUAGUUUGUUUAGUGGCAAGGCAUAUAACCUGUAUUUCAAAGCCAAGUUGUGCUAUUGAUUAUGUUAACUUUAUUGUUAACAUAAAGUGAUAUGGAGGACAUAAUCAAUGUAGGAAAAUUAGGUGAAGAGAUGAUGUCAAAUCUUGAACCUCUUACAAAGCUCCAAGUUCUUUACUUGAAGAAGCUGCCAAAUUUGAAGAGCGUCUACUGGAAGGCAUUUCCAUUCCCAGAUGUAUGCAGAAUUUUUGUAUUAAUGCCCAGUUCUUAAGAACCUGCCACUGGAUUUUCAAGGGGUGGGCCAAGGUAAAAUUCUUAUCAAGGGAAAGGAAGAUUGGUGGAAAGAACUUCAAUGGGAGGAUCAAGCAACUCAGAAUGCAUUGCUUCCAUUUUUCAAAUCAACUGACAAGUGAUUGAAGGGGGCAUCAUCAACAUCAUCAACAGAGAUGGAGAGAUUCUGGAGCAGAUCAGCAGGGUUUGUAUAUGAUCUUUGGUGGUUGCUUUCUUUUGUGAUUUUUUUUUUCUUCCUGUCAUUUUAUCAUUUCUUUGUCUCUUUUUUUAUUGCUGAUGUUAGUGUAUGCUUACUGUUGCUUGACAAAGUUCGCUUGCUUCUUGUUUAUUAAAUUUUUUAUCGUCACAAAAUAUUACUUGUUCUAUUUGAGAGUGAUGUGAAUCAAUUUUCAAUUAUAUAUUUUGUGGUCAAUGUGAAUUCAAUUUCAUUUGUCUCCUGCAAUUAUGAGAAAACUGCAGAGUCAUAAUAUGGAAAAGUACACCAGCAAAAACUUUGUAAAAGCUUCGGAGUGAAACAGGGAAUUCACUUACUACUAAGAACAAUUGAUGGCGAGUUAUUCCAUUCAUUUUAUGUCCAUCUAUCUAUUUAAUUAUUAAAGAUAAAUGGUCCAUUUAUAAAUUUCAGAUUGUCUCUCUCUGAAAAUAACAAUAUUUAAAAUAUCUCUUAAAUUAUUAUAAAUUUUAAUACACUCUCGAUUUAAAAUGGAACAUGCUGAUGAAAUUGUUUUCUUCUUAAUAAAAUUGAAAUAAAUUGUGUUUGCAGUAGUUUGAAAUAUUUUAAAGAUUAUUAUUUUAUAAGGGAGUAAUAUGAAAUGAAAUUUACUUUUCAUGCGUGAAAUGUUGAAAAAGGACAAAGCAAGUGUCCCUGCUUUUAUUUUUAUUUUAAAGUGGAGUCAUCUCACAUACUUUAGCUCUAUCAUUACAAUUUUUCAGGUUACAUUUUUAUUAUUUAUUUAUUUUCUUUUUUACACAUGCAUGUGGGUUACUUUUCCGUAAGCUCCUCAAUAUAUAUUGAACCCAGCGAAGAAUGUUAUGGAAGAGCAAAUUAAUGAUAUUUCUGAUAGAGUCUAUUUGAUUAUGUAGCCUGAAUGGAUGUCUUGUUGAAAGAUAUCUCAGUGCAUUAGUUCAUCCUUGUCUGUCAAUGUGUUUUUAAUGGUUUUUCCAAUUGUUUAUUAUUAUAGAUUGAUUGUAAAUUGAUAUGAAAAUUUGAUAUGAAUUUAAUGUUGAAAUGUUUUCUCUUUAGUGGAAUGAAUUUAAAAGUGCAAAAGAUUAUUGCACACAGAGAAAUAAACAUAUAUGCUUUAUAACUUUAGCAAUCGAUUCUUUUACAGCUGGAAACAGAGAUGAUGAUUAUCAUAAGGAUGAAGAAAAGUAGUGCGUUAGACGAUUAGACUCUCUUAUUAAAGGCAAGUAUAAAGUAGUGAAGAAUCCAAUAUCUCUAUUGUCUAGUCUUUUGUUUAAUUCUUCUUUUAUUAUUUUUCAGAAUAAUUUUUGGUGAUUACAAUCGGGUUAUUAUUCAGAGUUAUUGUUAUCUUCUGGGGCAGUUUCUGUUCAUCGAAUUCAUUAAUUAAAAUUUUAGAACUCUUAUCAGAAGAAUAUUUUUCGGUUAUCUUUUUUAUGUUCUAAUUCCAAUUGUAAGAAGUAGCCAUUUUAGAAUUUGGGUCUUGAAUCGAAUUUCAAUGCAUGAAUUAAUAUUAAAAAAAAAAAAUUCACUACUCGCAGUUUAGGUUACAAAUUACUUUUUGGAAAGUUGACUUUGGAAUGUUUGCAAAGAAAGAGACUAACAUAUUUCCAAUUACACUAAAUCUCUAUUAUGAUAAUGUUAAGACUAAAUUAAUUUAAAUAAUUUUUAUUUGAAAAUUAUAUCAAACGCAGUCUAAUUUUAUUAAUUUUAAGAAAUAAUAAUUAUAAAAAUUAUUGUUCUGACUUAAUUAAUACAAGUGAUAUAAAAGUUAAGUGUGCACUAAAUCUGUUUUAAUUUUUUCCAGUAUAACUAACAGAGGUCAUUACUAGAAUUAUAUUACUAGUCUAUUAGAUAGAAAAAAUUACUUAUAUUGUUUUAUAUUUAUUAAAAAAUUUAAAGCCAAUUUUUUUAAUUACUAUUUAAAGAAUAUUAUAAUUUGAAAAAUUUUAAUAUCUUUAUUAAAAAUUUAGAAAUUUACAGUCCUCUAAAUAUUUAAGGCGUAACUGUCAUUUUCUCAAGAAGCUUUAUUUAAUAUUAUUGAUUUAAAUAAUAUCUUAUUAAAAAUGUACUGAGGAGAAAUUUUGGUGGGUAUUUUAGUCUUUUCAGCAAUCAUCAUGAUUAACCUUUGGUUGGCCUUGAAACGUCGGUCAGAAAAGUUUUAAAAUGCUUAAUUGUUUUUCACUGUUAACGUUAGUGGCCUUGAAAUUGCUUAUAUUUUAUUAAAAAUUAAUGCUAACAAGAAAAAACUAGAUCGUAUUCCACCCCCAAAGCAAAAGUGAUAAAACAACCGGCUGUAUUCUUUUAUUAAACUACAAAUUAAAAUGGAUUUCUUUAAUUAAAGUGGAUAUCAUUUAAUUAAUGUUUGAACAUUAAAGUUCUGAUAUAUAACCACUAUGCCGACCACCUAAUUGCUGCUAUUUAAUUUCGUUCCAGUUCUCUCUCUCUCUCUUUUUCUUUUUUUUUUGGGCCAAGCAAUAAAUAGUAAAAAUUCAAUAAAAGCAAUAUUAAUGCUGCAAGUGAGUCAUGUUAUUUAUUGUCAAUUAGGAAAUGUGAACCUAAUUUGAUUGCAUCCCUUUAAUCAUUUAAUAAUUAUGUAAGCACCAUCCCUUUAAUUAUUUAAUAACUAGAAAAUAGAACACUGCGUUUCACGCGGCUUUGAAAAAAGAAUUUAGUAUUAUCUUUUUUUCUUACUUUACACUUGAUGAAACUGAUAAAAAAUAUGAAUUGAUUUUUUUUAAAGAUGAGGCAGCCUUAUAAAAAAUAAAAAAAGCUAUUAGCCAGCAAUACAAAUAAAGAAGGAAUGCAAGAUAAAGAAUAAAAUGAGAGAAUAUAUUAUAGAGUGAUCUUAUUCAUUCUAAUUGUGUGUGUACAAAACAAAAAGAUGAGCUCUCCUUUUAUAACUACAUAAUUACUUCAUGAAAUUAAUGAAAAAUUAUGAAUCAUAAUUUCUUGUGAGAUAGUGGGAGUUAUUGGGAAGCUAAAAGUUGCUAAUGGGAGAUAGUGGGGAGACUAAGAGAUAUAUAUUAUGAACAUCUACAUUUAUUUUAAUAAAUUCAUAACACUCCCCCUUAAAUGUUCAUUACAAAGAAUAUGCCUCAUUAAAAUCUUUACAUAAUUGUUAUUGUGUAAUAACAAUCAAAUUAAUUAUAAGAAGAUGAAAAGCCAAAUCUAACAGAAAAUUUCUCUAUUUAUUAGAUAAUAGAGAAUAUAGCAAGAUGAGAAAUGGUAAUGCCACAUCAUCUCCUCACGUCCCAACUUUAUAUAUAUAUAUAUAGAUAAUAUAUAUUAUUCCUGUCCUACAUUCACAUAUUUAAUUGUCCUUUUGAAAAUAUUCAUGAGUUAGGCCAAGUAAAGUCAAAGAAAUUGGGAAAAAGGAACAAAAGGACAAACCUAAAUUAAUUGAACCUAAUUCAUGAAAAUGCACACUUUUGUGUUGCGGACGGCGGACCCUAAAGCUUCGUUGUUUGCAGCUGCAAUUAAUUCUUUUCCUUCAAAAGUUAGAGGCUCGUGUUUACAGUGGGUCCCGAAUCGGACGUACCUAAUAAAUCUUUUAAAAAAAUUUGCCGUAUAAAGGACAGAGGUCAUUACUGAAAUUUCUCUUCCACGGGCAAUUACAGCAGCUUCAGUUAAUCAAACUCAAAUCAAUUUUCUUUCUUAACAAAAUAUUCCAAAGAUGUGUAGCAUUUUUCAGAUCACAUGCGAUGGUGCUUUUUUCAAUCGUUGCUUGGAUUGCUUUCUUGGAAAAGCAGCAUACAUACGUAACCUCCAAGAUAAUCUUGUAGCCUUGGACACUGAAUUGGGAAAUCUGAUCGCUAAAAAGAACGAUGUGAUGAGGAGGGUUGUCGAUGCUGAACGGCAACAAAUGAGAAGGCUGGACGGAGUGCAAGUGUGGGUUUCGAGGCUCGAUGCUGUUAAAACUGAAGCCGAUGAACUUAUCACAGACGGCUCUCGAGAAAUUGAAAAAUUAUGUGUUGGAGGCUACUGUUCCAAGAACUGCAGGUCAAGCUACAAAUUCGGAAAACAAGUGGCAAGAAAGCUACGAGAUGUGGAGACUUUAAUCGCCGAGGGAGUUUUUGAGUCGGUGGCUGAGAGAGCUCCGGAACCUGUGGCAGAUAAAAGACCCACUGAGCCAACAAUAGUAGGCUUGCAAUCACAGCUUGAACAAGUUUGGAGAUGUCUUCUUGUAGAAGAAUCAGCGGGAAUCAUUGGCCUAUAUGGUAUGGGCGGUGUUGGUAAAACCACACUGUUGACCCAUAUCAACAAUAAAUUUCUUGAGAGUCCCACCAACUUUGAUUGUGUGAUUUGGGUCGUAGUUUCAAAAGACCUGCGACUUGAAAAAAUUCAAGAAGAUAUUGGGAAGAAGAUAGGUCUGUUUGAUGGUUCGUGGAAGAAUAAAAGUGUUGAGGAGAAAGCCGUAGACAUCUUGCGGAGAUUAGGAGAGAAGAGGUUUGUAUUGUUGUUAGAUGAUUUAUGGGAGCGGGUUGAUUUAACAGAAGUGGGCGUUCCACUUCCCAGCCCACAAAAAUACUACAUCAAAGUCGUAUUCACGACCCGUUUCAUUGAUGUGUGUGGUAGCAUGGAAAGUCACAGGAAGUUUAAAGUGGCAUGCUUAUCAGAAGAGGAUGCUUGGGAGCUGUUUCGAGGAAAAGUAAGGCAAGAAACUCUUGAGAGUCAUCAUGAUAUCGUUGAGCUAGCCCAAACUGUGGCCAGAGAGUGUGGCGGUUUGCCACUCGCGCUUAAAACUAUAGGUCGAUCUAUGGCCUACAGAAAGACAGCUAAGGAGUGGAGACAUGCAAUUGAAAUGUUAAGGAGAUCAGCUUCAGAGUUUGCAGGUUUGGGAGAAAAGGUGUAUCGUCUUUUAAAGUUUAGCUAUGAUAGUUUGCAGAAUGAUACGAUUAGAUCUUGUUUCUUAUAUUGUUGUUUGUAUCCUGAAGAUUAUGGCAUUCUUAAAUGGGAUUUGAUUGAUUGUUGGAUUGGUGAGGGAUUCUUAGAGGAAUCUGACAGGUUUAGUGCAGAAAACCAAGGAUACUACAUUGUGGGCACUCUUGUUCAUGCAUGUUUAUUAGAAGAGGUGGAAGAUGAUAAAGUAAAAAUGCAUGACGUUGUUCGUGAUAUGGCUAUAUGGAUAACCGGUGAAAUUGAGAAGGAGAAGCGAAACUUUUUGGUUUGUGCAGGUGCUGGAUUAAAAGAGGCACCGGAUGUUGAAGUAUGGGAAAAUGUGAGAAGAUUGUCAUUGAUGCAAAACCAAAUUGAAACUCUGUCAGAGGUUCCCACAUGCCCUCAUCUUCUCACUUUAUUUCUUGACUUUAAUAGGGAGUUGAAGACUAUUGCGGAUGGCUUCUUCCGAUGUAUGCCUUCUCUCAAAGUUUUGAAGAUGUCAAACUCUGGAAAGCCUUGGAAAGGUUUGGAAUUAAAUUUGGGGAUGCCAAAGUUGGGUUCACUACAGCUUCUUGAUAUUUCACACACCUGCAUACAAGAUUUACCGCAAGAAUUAAAGUUGUUGGUAAAUCUGAAAUGUUUGAAUUUGAGGCGGACAAUUUGGUUAAAUAAAAUUUCAUGGCAACUAAUAUCAAAUUUUUCAAGGUUACGUGUGUUGAGAAUGUUCGCUACUGGCUGGUUCAAUUUUCAUGAAGCACCAGAAGACAGCGUUUUAUUUGGUGGGGGUGAAGUUUUGAUACAGGAAUUGCUCGGUUUGAAAUAUUUAGAGGUAUUGGAGUUGACCUUGGGAAGUUAUCAUGCUCUCCAAAUUCUUUUCAGCUCAAAUAAGCUAAAAAGUUGUAUUCGAUCUCUUUACCUCCAGUUGACCGGAGAUACAGCGUUAAUUAUUGAUGCUACGGCUUUCGCAGAUCUAAAACACCUCAAUGAAUUACGCAUUGAGUCGGCUACAAAGCUGAAAGAAUUGACGGCUGAUUAUACAGAGAUAGUUCGAAAAAGGCGGGAACCUUUUGUUUUCCGCAGCCUUCACCAUGUUACUAUACAAAGCUGCCAGAAGUUGAAAGAUUCGACAUUCCUCGUUUUUGCUCCAAACCUCAAGUCUCUUUCGAUAGUCAAAUGCAAUGCUAUGGAAGAAAUAAUCAGCGUCGGAAAAUUUGCUGAGACUCCUGAGAUGAUGGGACAUAUAAGUCCUUUUGAAAAUCUCCAAAUGAUUGAUUUACUAGGUUUGCCACAUUUGAAGAGCAUCUUCUGGAAGCCAUUGCCUUUCACUCAU